rnacentral:lncRNA from 1 species
AAAUAAAAAUAAGGUAUGGUUGCUCCUAGGUUGAGUUACUCGGUUACUCUCUUCAAUUGUUGCAUUACUACAUUCAAUUUGGUCCUAAAUCGAAUUGUAGCAGUUGGACCUUCACUGGUAGAUCCAAGUAAGACAUUUUUACCACUGCCAUAUUUAAAAUUGGAGCAAACCUGACAAUUUUUUUUCUUUUUUCGGAUUCCGUGCCUUUAUUAUUAUAAUAACUUGAAAUGCACCUAACCAAACAGCCCUUCAGAACAAUAUUGGUUUAGCUGCCAUAGUAAAGGAUCUUUACAAGCUUCAUAAAGAUGUACACUGUCGCCAAACUAACUAGAACUCAAAAGGUCUAGCAUUUUUAUUGUGCCUGAAUUGGAAACACAAUAUACAAUUAAUCAAGAAGACCUCUGAAUUUUGGAGAAACAUCACCUAUGGAGACUCGGAAACUGAGCUUUUUUGUAACACCAGAGGAUGGAGAAAAAUACCAUUCUUACGAUGCAAGUUGUUGGAGGAUUUUGCUGGCAGCUUGAAGGUACGCAGAAUGACCGUCGACCAAAUUAGAAACAUCAACCUAACAUCACAAAAGAGUGAGCAUAAUUUGCAUCAACAUAGAAAGAAUGGUUCAGAAAAACAAAAAUGCAGCCAGCAAUAGUGGAUUACAUUUUCUACCCCAGGGACUUCGACUGCUUGAAUUCCAGCCAAACCUUGGGUCAUCAGACUGUACAUGAAAGAUUUUCAAAUUUGAUAAGGCUGUAAGAAUCGAAUAUCACGGUGAAAAUGUGCAUAUACUUUACCUUGCGCGAAAAGUUAGCCCAAGUAUCCAGUCAUUCGUCGAGAAAACGUUCACAAACUUCCCAGCAACUAUCUGAAGGUUAGAGAGGAAAAAAAGGAGCAUGAAUAUCAAUUGUUUGCUUACUUCAGAACUUCAUGUUGGACAUAAUUGGACUAAUGAAAACUUUUCCCAGCAACCACUCUGUGCCCUUUAAAACAUAAAAAUCUCUAAACGUCGCUCUUUAAAAUUUCUAAACCGAAAAGGCUUCAAAAACUUUCAUGAUUGGGAAACAUAAAAAACUUCAAACCUUGCAUAGAUUAUUCACCAGCCAAAAACAGCACCUUGAACAGGAACAAAAUUCGAAAAAGAGGACAAUUUAUCAAAUGAGAAAAGCAUAAGAAGUGGCGAAAAUGCUUUAUUUUCAAAAACAAAGAAUAUUCAAAAUAGUUGAACAUCAUGUGUAAUUUGAAUUGGAAAAAGAGAAAGUGCCAUGAUACAUCUUGUAACUGUUCCUAUAUUUCAAGAGGCAUAAUAGAACUUGAGAGUACCUUUCUUGCACUCUCCCAUUGGUCGGCUUUCAGUGGUAUUGGUGCACCUAAAAGAACAACCUUCUCUAUAAUUCCCUCUGCACAAUCACUACAUUAGAUUUGUUGGUUAACUAAAAUUGCUAAACUGAGAAAAAAGAUUACACGUGUUAGAAAUCACCAUUAUCUUUUGAUUUAGCUAACUGUUGCAGACAUUCAAAUAUAACUCGUGCUCCUAGUGAAAAGCCAACAAGCGUCACUGGCCUGAAAAAGUGCACAGUGAUUCAAGAGUCAAAAAGAAAAUGACUUAGAAAAUAUUCAAAUAAAUUUAAAUAAUCACUUACCUGUUACCCUGUAAACCCUUCAAAAGAGCUUCAGCAAGAAGCUUCCCUGCUUUAUCUGAUCUGAGGAGUAGGAAAUAGAGUAAGCAAAACUUGGCAGUAAGUUUAGUACCCAUUGGGAGAUAAGCAUGUUUUAAAUAACACUAGAGCCGAUUAUUGUUGCACCUAUCAAUAGCAAUCGACCAUUUGCUAUCGAUGAAAUCAGUAGCUGAAAGUAAUGCCGUUGGCCAAGCUAUUGCAGACACGAGAGUGCUUAACACAGUCAUCAUGGCUCCUUGCCUCAUUAACUCCGUAGUGAGUGCUACAUGGGAAGCAGCAUUGUCAGCAAAUGGCAAUCUAGCAUACUAGCACUAUUUUAGUAUUUAAGCAAUGGGCUCUAAUAUUAACUGAGCAUAAACUAUUAUGUAUAGAAUCUGAUCAAGUCUACACCUAAAAACAGUUUCUACAAGAAAAUAUGAAGGGCUUGUUUGGCUGUAACUGGAGCUUCCACAGAGGUGUUGUAUGACUAGAGCUGCCCAAAUGAGCACUCACAACAUUUUCAUUAGAAUCUCCUUCGCAACUUCUCGCAAAAGAAGAAGCAAAAACUUUAAAUUGGAAGUUCUUCUUUUAGAACCAAAAAGCUCAUUUUAGCUUUCAAGUACAGCAAAAACUCCAAAAGCUGUUAGCCAAACACCUAGUUUUUGUAUGCUUCUACUGCCUCAAGUAGAGAAGUUGUUCCACAAGGCCAAACAAAUACAAAAUCCAGCAAAUUACUUGAAGUGAACCAUUCUUGGGUCGCAGUGCUUAGUGCAAUCAAAUUCUUCGAUUCCCACUGAAGAGCAUACCUGACAAACACAAUUAAGCAUUUCAUGAUGAAGAAAAAAGUGACAAUAGGCUUAAUCUUUGAGAAGCAAGAAUCAUUGCUGAGUGUGAUGUACCUCUCAGAGUUAACCUCAAUUUGUUCCCAGGGGUCUACGUAGUCUUUCUCCUCACAGACAAACCCAGAAACAAAAAUACUAACUGCUAGGCGCUGAAAAAGAAGAAACAUUAGUUGCUCAUGGAAUUCAAGAUGGCAGAAGUCCUAAGCUAUCUAAAUCCCAGUACACUUAAAAAUGCGAGAGAAAAAAUAUUACUCACACCCUGGUUGUGGUUUUCUCCAAUGUUUUUGAACUCAAACUCUUCAAUGCUUCCAAUUCUUUUAGCCAUUUUGGUCCCUGAAAGUCCAGCUCCAGCAGCUGUUUUCGCAUGUUAAUGAACUGUCAUCUAAAGUGCAUAUGCGUAACCAAUAUGCAUAAAAUCAUCUCUUGGUUGUCAUUCUGACCAAGUUAUCUACAUAGCACUGUAUGCUUCUUUCUAUAUAUCCAAUACAAGAAUUAUGUAUGAAAUAAUACUGAAGAUCUCACGAUACUAAGGCCUUUUUUAGAUGUCAGAAUAAGAUAUCCAAUGGUAACAUAUUUGGUAUGAAGAUUUUCUAGUGUGAUUGGAAGCUAGGAGUUUGAUUUUUGCUCCUUGAAAGGUUUUGACUUUUAGGAUAGCAUAUUUCAUCAAUAAGGUGAUUUAUCUUAUUUCGAAAAAAAUGACUUGAAAUCUGAAUAUUAUAUCCAUUCUAUAUAUUUGAUCCCGCUCCUCAUCUACUAAAUACAACAUGCUUCUUGAGUAAUUGAAGAGAUAUAUUCCGAAUAAGAUAUUCAUGCAUCCAAACUGGGUGUAAGAGUGGAAGACCCUCCAAGAGAGAUAGGACACACGAAAAGAAUUUGAAAGAAAAGAAAGAAUCUAUACAAUCUCAUGAAUCCCCAACCCAUGAUGAGUACGGAGCACUCCCUUGAGGGCAUCUCGGCAAAUUUGAGGGUGUGGCCUGCAUUGAAGCUAAUGCGUUGGGAUAAUGGGGCCUGCUACUAGGACCUAGUCACCAACAUGCUUGCCGAUAGCAUCCCCGCCAACACGGCUCACUGCCUCGAUUGCGAUAUCCACUAGUUCGAGCACAUGUAAGCCACCAUUGUCAUCCUCGACAAAGUCAUCUACUGUGCCGAAUAUGGUGCAUGAGACAAAUUCAUACAUCGAGUGUAAGGCAUAACUGAUACAAUUUUUAUUUUUGAUAGAAAGCUUGCAGACUCUUUCUUUUUAGAGAGAAAGCCCACAAGCUUCUUUUUUCUUUCCCCUUUUUUUCUCGAGAGAGAUGAGUACGCUAGAGACCACCACAGUUCCCCAAUGAAAAAAAGGUUCAAUAAUAAAUUACAAUAAUUGAGCCUUUUUUCCAGUACUUCUACUUAAAUAUUUCCAAAGUACUCUACAUUGUCAAAAUCAUAGUUAGUAGCUUGAAUUUUCGUGAGGUUCACUGCUUGAAACAUAGGAAUCUGGCAUCAGUUGGUGGCAAUCAACAAUAAAAGGAUGCAAUUAUAAAUAUGAAAUGGAAGUAGAACUAUUAGAAGAUGCAACAGCAAAAAUGAAGCAGCAAAAGAUGAAUGAAAAGAUAAUAAGUAUCUAGAUUUGGAGAAAAAAGAAACCAAAGAUUACUGUAAUCAAGCUAUCUAUUGUACUUUGAGAACAUCAUUUCAUAUAUGUUUAAUGAUUGAUAAAUAGUUCAGUUGCCAGCAGCUAAUAGAUCUAGAAUAAAAAACCAAAUUCAUACCUCCAAAUGAUGCAGCAACAGCUACAGAGCCAGUAACUGAUCCUGCAGCACCUGCGGCUGUUGCAAAUCCACCAGCUCCAAUAAAUGGGACUAGGGUUCCUAAAGUGGGAGCUAGUGCACUAAAUCCUGCGGCAAUUGCUGGAGCAGCAAGACCUGUUAAGGAAAACAGAAUAAAAAGGAUGCCAUGAUCAUUCUCACUAAGAUUUUUCUUGUUCAGAAAGUUGGUCAUUCUACGAAGGCUUAUAUUCUGCAAAAUCAUCCAUUAAUUUAAAUACCCCAGUAAAACAAUCUGAAUUUCAAUAUAUAUCCCUUGAAAUGCAGUUUCUAACAAAAUAAUCUUAUCUUAACUUUCGAGGUUAUCCAAUUCAGGUGAGGAAGUAGGUUUUGCAUUAGAAAAGGCUUGAAGGAACAUUUUGGUAAGAAAUGAGACAUAUAUAUAUAUAUAUAUAUAUAUAUAUAUAAAAUAUAGAACUAGGCUACUAUUCUAUUAAUAGCACCAAGUCAUUGGUGCUGCCAAGUUUUUGGCCAUUGGAUUAAGUGAUGUGCAGUUAGGAUGAUGUGGGCCCCCUAGGGUUGAGUGGGUGGUUGGUUGAAUAGUAUAAUCUAACGGGUAAAAAUAAUCAAAGGGGUUAAUCUAACGGCAGAAAACUUGAUAGGACCAACUACUUGGUGCUAUCGAUAGCAUAGCAGCCGGACUCUAUAUAUAUAUAUAUAUAUAUAUAUAUAUAUAUAUAUAUAUAUAUCAAAAAUCAAAAUUUUUGAGUAACAAGUAAAUAGAUAAUUUUGCAUGGAUAAAACUGUUUAUCUCUCCUCUGAUUAAAAGCUUUGGUACCUCCAGAAAUUGCUAACAUGGCUCCUCCUGUCAAUGCCGCAGCACCAAUGAUGCCACCACGCUUCCAUCUAGACCAGCUACUUUCUUCUGAUUGACAGCCUUCGGACUGCAAUGCCUCUUUUGCUGCAGCUAUUGCAGAGCAAGCAAGCAUUAUCUCCAUGGCUUCCUAUAAAGGGCAUCCCAUAAAAUAAAAUGGAUAAAGCAAGUUAAACUGAAAGUUGAAGAGAAUAGCAUAUGCUGGUUAGACAUGAGAAUGCUAAUUAAUAUUCUUUAUGUGGAUGCAAGUGAUGGUGCUUUGGCUACUGUUGUCGACUGCCAUGAGUCUUGAAUUGAUAGGAAAAUGGUACCAUAAAAAGAAUUAGGAAAAGAUGUCCAAACAAUUAUCACAUGUUUAAGGGAUUAUAUAACUAAUGGCCUCCAUAGAGUUGUGUUUUACUUCAAUAUCCAUAAUAGGGCUACAGCAACAGCAUCAUAUCAAUUUUGUUUGAGAAGAGUUUUACAUAUAAUACUACCCAUAGAUAUCACAGAGAACAGGAACAUGAGUUCUGUCAUAUAAGGGCUAUUGGCAUCACCCUAUAUAAGCAGUUCUACAAGAGAAACGAUAAAACAUAUUCUUAUUCUAAUUAAGAAAGAACAACAAACCACAUUUAUCCAUUGGACAUCAAGCCACCCAGCCAAAAUUCUUAGAGCAAUGCGGUGACGAGCAUCGUAUCCCUUUCUGUGUUGAGAACUCUUUUUAUCAUCAUCAGGUAUAUCAGCCACGCAAGCAGAAAGAAGUUCAUAAAGAAAGCCCAAUUUCCGUUGAUCACUGACCGGAAAAUCCACUAUAAUUGACUUGUUAUCCAAUAGAACAGUCGAUUUGUUAAUUGCCGCCUCUUGUCCGAAAAACACUUUUAUCUUUGUUAAAUCAAACAUUUCAGCAGACAUAGAUAACAUGGAUCUGUCAUCAGAUAAUUGUCCAAUGAUUUCUGACGUACUAGAUGUCAAUUCAGAAAUUUUAUGCACCAUAUCAGAAGUAAAUCUUUUAUCAGAGUUAUCUUUAUGUUCACUUUGCUCUUCCUUGGCAACCUCAGUUGAACCGGAAGCCGUUUUCAAGCUUGCGACAAUUGAAUCGAUAGCUUUUGACAAUGCAAGCUCUUCCUCUGAUCUCUCUGAAGAAGUUUCGUUGUUGUCAAAGAUUAUCUUCAAGAACUGGAAAGAAUGUGCAAACAAAAAGCAGAAGUCAGUUUCCCGAUCACUUAUACUUCUUUGACGAAACAGAGCCAGGAAGUCAGGACCAUAAGAUUUAGUGAUCUGGCCUCUUUUAAUCUCAAAAAGAAUAGUCAAAAGGAAGCUAAUCUUUCUUCAUAUUCGUUCUGUAACAUUAUCUGACAUAGACUGAAUGAAAUUAGUCUUGUAUAUAUCCUCAAGUACUUCUAUGAAACUAAAGUUGUAGAUAAUACUAGUGCGGCCAGCUACAAUCAAAGGUUAAUCAGCAUACACUUCGAGCAGCGAAUAUUUCUAAUGAUGUUUCCAGUAAGAAGGAAUACAAUUUGACGACUUUGCACUUAAAAUUCAAAAAUAAUUGUAAGUUGCAGUUUUUAAUCAUACAAAGAACAUUGAAUUCUGAACAAUAAACAGAUCAGCCAGUAAUAGAUAACAUGCUGUAUGCAAGUAAAGGCAUGCUAAUGGGGGUGUUUGUUCAGAAUAUUCAACAGCAAAUUAAAUCUACCAUCAAGACCUAUCGACAUGUCAAUCCUUUUUUCUUCUUUUAAUUUUUAAGAAACACCACAUCAUGGGAAGGGGUUUGUCACAUAAUAUGGUUGUCUUGAAAGGCAAAAUAGCCUAUUCUUGAGUAAUUUUUUUUUUUAAAAAAAAAUCUCGUCUGCUUGGUUAAGCUUUCUACUUCUGCAUUUAGCAGCAGCUGGUUCUAGUAGUGCGUUUCAUGAAUGGAAAAGUUUGGAGCUUUUGGCGCAAUUAGAAGCUGAGAUGAGAUUCUAAGCUCCGAACGUAGAUUUUUCUACAAAGAGAAACUGUUGAGGAUAUUGUAUUAAUGUGCUUCACGUACUAGCAUUUCGCAUGCAGUGCUUCACUAAACAAGACUAGCAUUACAUGUGGCAACUUGUUAGAUGCAAACCACGAGCCCCAAAAUACUUAAACCUAGUUAUUAUUAAUAUCAAAGCCCCUAAAUGCAAACACAUUACGAUCACAUUACGAUUCUCGCACAACCACAGACUCUAUCCAAACUCAAGAACUACAUUCCCCACGACAUACCUCCGCGAUUCGAUCCCUAGGGCAACUCGACGCCGCGGUCUCCUCGAUUGCCGCCCAGGAAUCGGGAUCGAUCCCGAGGUGGUGGAAAACGGGGCGUAGCAGGGCGUGGGACUCAUGAGUCCAGAGAUCGGAGGGGUCACCACCGCCGCCGCCGCCGCCGUCAUCGGCGGCAGAGUUGCGGGGGCGGGAGUGGUCGAGCUGGGCCUGGCCGAGUGCGAGGGCGAGGAGCGCCGCGGCGGCGCGGCUCUGGGCCGGGGCGAGGAGCGAGCUCGGCAUCGGCGGCGACGAGGGGAGGAGGAGAGGGAUCGGCGAAGGGUCGGGGGGGAGAGAGAGAGAGAGAGAGAGAGAGAGAGAGAGAGAGAGAGAGAGAGAGAGAGAGAUUUUGUUUGCGGAGGAGGAGGAGCGAUGCAUUUUGUGUGCGUUGUGGCGCGACGAGCGACGCGCGCACGAUUAUCGGCGUAGCAACGGUUUAAGAAGCUCCUGCUACUACAACUACUCAAAAGCGUGGCGCGUGAACCGUGAAACUCGGAGAAAAUGUUUCCUGCACCGAGUGUACACGCUCACUCGACACACCGCAUCUCAAGUCCCGUGAACUUUUAAACAUUUUAAACUUUGUCACAACCAUAUUAUUAUUAUCAGCAUAAUUAUAUUUAUAUUUAUAAUAAUUUUAAAAUAUUUAAGUUGAAGAUUAUAUUAAAAUAUAAAUUUGAGACUAGAAUUUAUAAUCUACUCUAAAAAAAAAAUUUAAAUUUAAAAUAUAAUAAAAUAUUAAACGGACCUAUCCUCUGCGGCCCCGUCUCUCGCACCAACACCGACCUGGCUCGACCAGCUAAUAACAACGCCCGAUCCUUCGCGCCCACGUCUCUCGCACCCCGCACGAGUCUACAAAACCCGAUCGCGAUCGACUCGAACGCCUCCCUCGGCUUCGUUGCCCCACGAAGCAAAAGGAGGAGCGAUCGCACUGCAUGUCGGAGCGAAAUUAGGGCGCGGAGAGGAAGGGGGAUCGGGGACGCGGAGGAGGAUGGAGGAGGAAUCGCCGCGCGGCGGCGGCGGCGGAGCUCCGAGAUCGGGGGCGGAGGGCCUCGGCGGCGGCGACCCCCAGGACCCGGAGGCGUCGGCGGCGGCGGCGGAGGGGAGGAAGGGGAAAUCAUGCAAGGGGUGCCUCUACUACUCCUCGCUCCGCAAAUCCCAAUCCCGGAACCCUAUGUGCUUCGGCAUCUCCAGGACCCUUCCACAAGGUUAGAAACCCUGUUGUUCGUAACUGCAAUCGUUGAUUUGUGUGCGAUUCUGUUGAUUUGAUGUGGGAAAAGGCUGAUUCUUUUGAGUACUCUGGGCUCUGGCAUCGGUUUGUUAUAACAGGGUUUUGAUAUGUUAACCGUGGUGAAGAAAAGGGAAAGGAAAUGAUUUAUUUGAUUCUAAAGAGAAUAGAAAACCGGCGUAGUAGAUUUUAGUUUAAGGAUAUUUGGGUGAUUUGUUCGAUUGGAGUUUCCGCUCUGCUUCAUUGUUAAGGUUAAAUUGGUAGAAUUCGCUAACUUAUCUGAGACUGUUUCAUCUCUUAUAUAGUUGAUUUUUGGUGUUUUUUAUGGAUCUGGGAGCUGGAAAAUUGGUUGUUUUAUGAAGAUUGUUGUAAAUCGGGCGAAGGAAUCACUGUUGGUCCUCAUAAUGAUCAAACUAAUAUUGAUGAAAUUUGGGUUUUGGGGGAAAUUUUUAUGAAUUAGCUCAUUAGGCUUUUACUGUUUUUUGGUCUUUCUUUUUUCUAAUUCUUUAAUCUCCUUAAUCUUCACAACAGAAGAUUAAUAAGUGAAGAUGAUUUUGUAUGCAAUUAGAGGAGAUGAUGGAAGCAUACAAGAAAAUGUUAUACUAUGAGUUAGUAACCGGGAAAUUACAGAAUUUAGUAGAUAGAAAAGUCUGUGCUCUUUAUUUAUUAUAGUUAGCUCUUGUCACGGUACCCUGGGUUAGGAGAAGGGCUCAGACUGAAGCCAGAUGCACUUUGGUAAGCCAUUGAUUUAUUCUUCCAUCAAAGUUGGAAUGGAUAAACUAGGUGAAGAUGAAUAUCACAAACUGUAUGAGUAGGCACCUUGAUCCCUCUACUCAGUAGUUUGAGAAGGAUUGCUCGAGGCACGCACAUUGGUGCUUAGACACAAGGCCCCAGGGUCAUUGCCUUGUAUUCUUACUUGCACCUCAAGUAGAGUGCCUCACAGAAGCAUGCACCUCAGCCAAGGACCCAGGCGCACUUAAGAUGCCCCUUAUAUUGACUUUAUUAGCUUUGGACAUGAGAUGCGCAAGUAACAGCCCUUUGGCUUAGUGAUUUUCUUACAUUUGUAUUUAUUGUCCAGUGCCAAGCUACAUAGUGGGAGAGUCUGAAAUAGAGGCAAUGAAAGAUGGACGUAACCUGUCGGACUUCAAGUAUGCAUGUGUUGGUUAUUCAGUGUUUCUGGAUAAGAAAGGAAAUCCGAGUGACAACCAAGAGAACCAAGCAGAGCUGCCAUUCUGUGUUGGAAUUGAGGUUUUUCUCUUCUAAAAACAAUUUCUUGAUUCUAUAUAUUCUCUUUGGUUGAUUCAACUUUUUCUUUGUAAUAGUAUAUUUAUUUGGGAUUUUCUCACUUAAAAGAUGGAAAAUGUAUAGGUAAAAACGUACAGAACUUACUUGAACUAUGGCUCAUUUUGAUUUAGUUACCCAACCUUUGAAAAUUUUAAUUUUGCUACCCAACCUUUCGAUUUAUAAUUUAUUUGAUUUGAGUUAGUCAACGACACAUUAUCUUUAAAAUUUGAAUGUAUCGUUUAUCUUUGCAGGUUUAGUUAGUAUGCUUCAUGUAAUUUUCGCAAUUAUAAAUUCAUGAAAGUUAUUAGCUUAAAUUUUGAAGUCAAAGUACCGUUGACUGAUUUAAAUCAAACAAAUUCAAAGGAUGUAUAGUAAAAUCAACAUGUUGAAAGGUUGGGUAGCUUUCAAAAUGGUCCAUAGUUCAGGUAUGUUCUGUACAUUUUACCAAAAAGAAAUAUAAACUAAUGUUGUAGAAACAAGCAACUACUAACUUUUUCCAUCUUGGUCCAUUCAGUGUAUUUACUCUACUUAGUAUUAGACAGUUUGAAAACAUGAAUGGGCAAUUUAGCAAAUUCUAUCAUCUUACAUAUGUUUUGGGGGAAAUAUUUGCUUUGAUGGGGGAAAUAAUUAAUUAAAUCACUUCGAAUAAAAGGCAACUGCAUUCAUCUCCUUGCCUUCUUGGAAGUUGCUUGUGCCGAUCCCUUGUUGCUAUGUAGCAUAAAUAAUGUAGUCAUUUAGUUAAAAUGCUGAUAAAUAAAUCCUAUUCUAGUAUCACAGCAUGCAUGAAGUUUUCUCAAGGCUCAAAUAUAGACACCAUUUGAGAGAAAAAUUUUGAGGUGAAAAGUUAAAAUAGCCAAUCAUUGUUUUCGUAAGUAAUCUCACAAUGACUAUCAGCUUUCUCAGUGGAAUGGCUUUGUUUGCUAGUUUUAGCUCCAGCAGUGACAGCUAUGAAUUGUUUGGUCAUUGUAGAAAGUCAGUAAUUGUUCAGAAAUUUCAAAUUGACUUGAGGAAAAUGUAAUGCGUUUCAAUAUGCACUCAGGAUCUUUGUACUUUAUAGCAUAUUCAGAGCCUAUAUUCUCCAAAAAUAUUGAGGUAGAGCAGAUAUAAUUAAAGAGCUGUGAAGAAUUGUGAUGAGUGAGAAUGCUGAAUUAGUAGAAGGAAAACUAGUGUAAGAACUAUUUUACUGUUCCUAUGUCUAUCUUUAGAAUUUCACUUCGUAGAGAAAUUCACUUCAUGCUCCAUGGCAUUAUAUGAUAGUCGUGAUAUCUAUACUUUUGUUUUAAUAUGUUUCUUGAAUAAAGUGAAUUUUUAUAUCGCUCUCUUUUGUACUUUUGCCUUUUCAUCAUUGUUUUAAAUAUGUUGUUGCAGCUGUUGGUUGACAGAAGAGCCUCCACUUCUGCUCACGCUCCUGCUCACGUUCACAAGGAAGGUAAUGUGGCUAAAUAUUGAGAAGACUCUGGGAGUGGAAAAGAGACAUAUUAACUUCUUGAAAUUUUAUUACUUCUUGCUUGUCAGAUAAAACUACUCUCGCAAAUGUAGGCUAUCUUGAGUUAUAGUUGCUCUUUCAAUGCUUUAUAAUUGUAAUUCUGUCGUGAAGAAUAUUCUCUUUACUUGAGAGAAGGUUUUUAACCUAUGAAUAAAAGUUUUGGAUUUUAAUCUAUGGAUGGAAAAGUUUUCUGACAAUCUGCAUGUAAACUUUCUUUUGAAGAUGCUGCUGCACAUUCUCAACCGCGAGGAUAUAAACCUUCACACUCUUCAGGAGAGGAGUUCUUAAACAGGCAAGCUCUUAGUUCCAGUUUCUACUUUUACUACCUAGUUAAUGAAUUAGAACCCUUUCAAAUGUCAACAAAUAGGAUACUGAUGUUUGCACUUGUGCAGGUUUUCAAGGAAUGCUGGACUCGUGGCUUCGGGCGUGGCCAGGAACCUAAACAAAGUCGGCAACUACAUCAAAGAAAACAUAGAUGAUAUACUGUAUCCUUACCGCCGACGACCCAAGUAGAGCCAAGCUUAAAACAAAAACUAGCCUUGACAUCUUCACUUUAUCUAGAUAAACAAAUAAAUGAGAUGGGGGUUAUCAGGGAUUCAUAAUUGUUUGUUUCCUGCUGUAUCUGUUAUAAUUUUGUAACUUAAUUUUGAGAUCAAAGUUUUUCGCAAUAGUGAAAACUCUUCAGGGUUAUUUUUUUGUCGUUGGUGUUGCUACUAAUGAUGCAAAUUAAAAUUAUGUGUAGAGGAAGUAGUUUCUUGGAGGAAGAAUGUUUUUUGCAAAAAAGUUGAGACUGGUGUCUUGUUGUAGCUGCAUUUGGUAAGCUGGAUUGGUUACGAGGUAUGGUUUGUUCCGUAUCUAGCUCGAAAUUCAUUACCCGUAAAUUCUUCGAUGCUUGGUAUAGAGUUGCUACAUUUCUAUGGAUGCCAAUUUGUGUUGGUGGGCUGUGUUUGUAGCCGACAAUUGGAUUUGUUGCGUCAACUUGAAACCUAUAUCUAUGUUUCUGUAGGUUAGCUGUGUUCAUGAUAUUCAUGCGACGUCGUCUCUCGACUGAAAUGGAGAUGUAUUUGGCUGCCUCAUUUUGACAUUGACAGACUAAAUAGUGAAUUCUUGUGGGUGUUAUAUGCCUGGGUUCUGUGCUCAUGUUGAUUCGAAUUGGUGUGUUAAUUUCAGUUUAGACAAGUUUGUGUUUGUCUCCUAUUUGGCCUUGUUUCUCUAUCUAUUUUCAAUAAUACAAUCUCUACCGAAGCCUUUAGCUGAACACUAUAGUAACAAGUUUCAAAAGUCGAAGCACUAAUUUAAUACUUUUUUUUUUUGAGAGAUAGAUAACAUGUUACCCGCUUUAUUUAUUUUAUUUAGAAAUAAUUUAGCUAAAAAUGUGAAUCUAUCUAGAAUUCAAACUCGGAACCUCGAAUAUCAAUCACCAAGCCCAUAGCCACUUACGCUAGGGACGGUCGGUAUUAAUUUAGUACUUUUGGUUCUGCUAUUGUGUGAAACUGUUAUGUAUGCUUUUAUAUUAUCACUUGGAUCGUAUCAACCAACUUCCAUUCUUGUCGGGUGGAAUACAUUUUGAGAGAAGCAAUUUUUUGGGAGCUUUCCUUGCAAUUUAUUAAUCUUCUUCUAAAGAUAUAAAGCACUUGUAUUUCAAGUUACAUCGGUUAUCUUAAACAUGAUCAUUUGGCAUUUAGAAAUAUCUGCGACUUAUAAAAUUGACUUCUUUACUUCAGAGAAACAUGAAAUGAACUUGUUGACAGCUAUUGUUAUUCCUGACCUCAUGCCAAUUAUUUUGCCGCAGAUAAGCUAACAAUUAUUGGUACCUCAAUAUGACACUUGUACAGAACUUAUUAAGUCUACAUAUGCUGACAACGUUUAAUUGAAAAUUAACUAAGUAGUUAAUAGACUGACCGUCCCUAACGCAAGUGGAAAAAGGGCUUGGUGGUUGGUAUUCAAGACCCAAGUUUGAAUCCUAGUUGAUUCACAUUUCUAACUAAGUUUAUUUCUAAAUGAAAUAAAUGAAGCGGGUAGGAAUGUCAAUGGGUAUGGAUACCCGAAAUAUUAUCCGAAUUCGAAUCUGAACGGGACGGGUUUAUCUGAACUAAACAGGUAUGGAUUCGGUUAUGGGUAUAGAAAAUAAAAAUCCGACGAAUAUGGAUACGAGUAUGGAUUUUGUAUUUAUCCGACCCGACCCGAAUAAAUUAUAUAUAUAAAUACUUUAUUUUUAUUUAUUUAUAUAAUAUAUAAAAUAUUUAAUAAUUUUUAUCUCUUAGAUCUUCAUUCAACGGUAUGGAACCCGCCGGGUAUGGGUACUGGUCCGGGUUCGGAUUUAGGGUUUUUGGUUGGGUACGGAUAUGGGUAUGGAUUUUUAAAACCCGCCGGGUUCGGGUUCGGGUACGGAUUUUAAUUUGAUUUUCGAGUUCAGGUUCGAAUUUUUAAAAAUCCGAUCUGUUGACAUUCCUAAAAACGAAUAGCAUGCUACCUCUAUCUCUCAAAAAAAAAAAAAAGAAGAAAAAAAUUAACUAAGUCAGUAACAGAGUCAAUCGGAAGUAUGAGAUGAGUGAGUGCGCUUGAAUCUGACCAAGCUGUCAGAGCUAAAAUAGAAAAAAAUGUGGCACCUUAAGAAUUUAAAGUAGUUAUAUAUAUGUAAGAUUUAGUUUUAUUAAAAUUCUUAAUCCGGCUAUAGUUCUAAACAUCUUAAUUCGACUAUAAUAUUUUUUGAUGACGGUUAGAAAUAAAAGAUUAAGUGGGUUGAACGAUUUUAGCGCUAAAAUAAUUCUAAAAUAAACAACACUCCUAAAAGAUUAAGAGGGUUUAACUUCAUAUCUCAACGAGCAGAACACGAUCUUGCUCGUAUUUGACGAGUUGACAGCCCUAAAUUCAGAGGCAGAGGCUCAUCCCCCUCUAAGUUGUUCAUUACAAAAUGGCCCAACAAAUUCGCUCUCUCUCUUCCCCUCUGUUUCUCUUCCUUUCUUUCCUCCUUUCCUUCUCUCCCCUUUCUCUCUCCCUCUCUCCUCCGUUUCCACCGUCGACGCAAACGAAGAAACAACGAUAUAUAUCUCUCUCUCCCCCUCCAUAUCUAAACCAAAAACGAAAGGGGAGAGAGAGAGAGAGAGAGAGAGAGAGAGAGAGAGAGAGGAGGAGGAGGAGGAGGAGGAGGAGGAGGCUUCGUGCAGUGCUUUCGCUUAGGGCAAUGAACGGAGCCAAACCCCCCGUCGUCGUCGUCGUCGUCGUCGUCGUCCUCCACCCCUGCGCCCUCAUCCACCUCUAACAACAAACCUAGAAUCUCUCCACUCGGACCCGGUCGAAUUCAAUGGCGGCGCCCCGCAUCCUCUACCGCCGAGGCGGUGGCGCGGCGUUGGGCCUCUGUUCUCGGUCGCCGCCGCCGCUCGGCGCCGCCCCUGAUUCGGCUCGCUGCGUCUCGCAGCUCGUGCAGAGCAACGGGAAGAGGGCGUUCCUGGUCGACACAUUGGCGUUGGUAACGUAGUGAUCCAAUGGAUCGAGACCAAUCUCUCUCUCUCUCUCUCUCUCUCUCUUUGCCUUUUGGGGAUUGUGUUGCGGUUAAGGUGUUUGAUGUUAUGCAGGUGAGGAGAUUGGAGGCGCAGGGGCUGCCGUCGAAGCAGGCAGAAGUCAUCACGUCGGUGAUUACGGAGGUCCUCAAUGACAGCCUAGAGAACGUCGCACAAUCAUUCGUGUCGAAGGGGGAUAUGCAAAAGGUGAUUGCAUUCAAUGUUGUAUUGAUUGGUGGGCGUUGGUAAUCUUUGUUAUUAUCGUUAAUUAAUGUGGAUUGAUGGUUUAUGCAGAGGGAAGUGAUGCAAGAUUCUAAUCUCUCUAAGUUCAAAUCUGAAGUACAAAGCUCGCAGGUGCGACGUAUCUUUAAUUUUAAUCUGAAUGAAACUAAUUAGCUGCAGUUAUUUGUAAAUUAUGUAAUAUCUCUCUGGUGAUGUAACAUGCAAUAAACCAAUUAGAAGCCUGAGCCAAUUAACCGAUAGUGCUUCUUAGUUUUUCUACCGGCCGAGAGCAGAGGAACUUAGAUUUCAGUUUUUUCUUUGGUUAGGUUGUAUGUUUCUUGGCAGAAUUUUCCUUCCUCCUUUAGUCUUAUCAUUGCAAAAAUUGGCUAAUUUGGAUCAUUAUCACUGUAUAACUUAGGGAUCUGACACAAUAUUUAGGUGGUAUAUCUUUGGUUAGUUUGUAUGUUUCUUGGCAGAAUUUUCCUUCCUCCUUUAGUCUUAUCAUAGCAAAAAUUGGCUAAUUUGGAUCAUUAUCACUGUAUAACUUAGGGAUCUGACACAAUAUUUAGGUGGUAUAAAUGUUUUAUGCAUGAAGUAUUUGAGAUUCAGUAGGCAAAUGGAGAACAAAACAUGAGAAUGUUUUCUUAGUAACGAGGUUUAUUCUAAAAAGUAGAAACGAUGCAAGGAUAGUCAACCUACUACAAAGUGCAUAUGCGGUGUGUAGGUGCAUAUGCAGACGAAUAUACCGUUCAGCUUUUAAAAUAUGUAAAAGUUUAAAUAUAAAUAUAAAAAAUAUUCUUAUUUUCCAAAAAUAUAAUUAAACAGAUAUGUAAUAAAUUGGCUAAUUUUUUGUAGAAAAUAAUAAUUUCUUCAUAAAGCGCUAUUUACCAUUACUUUUGUAGUCAUCCAAUAGACCAACACUUUUAAAAUCUAGUACAAUAAUAUAUAACAAUUACAAAAUUAUUCAUCAAUAUUUAUAUAUAUAAUUAUUAGAUAUAUGUUAAAAAUAAUACCACAAAUUAUGAAAUGUUAAUAACCAAGCAAUUAAAAUAAGAAGAGAGUUAAGUUAUAUUUAUGAGAAGAUAGUAACAUGUAUAUGCAUAAUCAGUAACCAAAACUAUAUGACGAUAGUCAUAUGUGUAUAUGUAUAGUCGUCAAUGAUAUGCCAGCCACUGCAUUUAAGUCCCACCUCAAAACAAAACACUGAAAAAGAAUUGCCGCAUAUGUGGUUGCAUAUUUGGUCACUUGCCACAUAUGUGGCCGUCGCAUAUGCAGUUAGACUGCAUACUGUACUGCAUAUUACAUAUGUGGUGUGGUUGAUUGCACAAACCAUAUAUGCCACCAUGUAUACCACUUUUUGGAACAUGUGGUUUGUGUUCUCAACAAACUAUUGAACGGAAACCAAAGUAAUCUAGAAUUAUGUCAUUAUUUCAGUAACAGUUAAUCAAUCUGAGAGUCUAUGGUGUAGUUAUCAUUUAAACAUCGAACUGGGUAGUAAGAGAUAGAACAUUAUGAAUCUCUUAGGAUCCUAUAAUCAGGCAGAACUCUCAUCCUUUCUUGUGGCAGCCAAAUUGUGUGAUCUCCGUUAUGGUUGGUUUAUGAUGAAAAACCAAGGCGGAACCUGCAUCGCAACAAAGACACUAAGCAUAUAUAAUAUUUUGUAUGAGGGAAUUUAUGAGCCUUUUAGGGAAAAACGGGCAUGAAAAGAUGGAAGUACGUAUUGAUAUUCAUGUUAAAUUCCAGGGCAAGUUGACUUCACAUUAAGGGCAGAAAAGGGAGCACAUACCAUUUUGCUUUUAUAUUUCUGUAUGUUUUAGUUCUUUAGCAAUUUCAUGCAAGUUACCAAAAUUAGAGGUUUGGGGCAAUUAGAGGUUUGGGGCAACAUAGAGUGAGAAUGUGAUUGAUUUUGGACAGUUAUACUUAGAAUAUUUUCACAGUUAUAUUGCUUCUGUACUCGCAUGUUUUUGUCAUCUAUUGAAAUUUCUCUGUUAUUUUAACUUUGGAGAGACAUUGCUUCCUUUGCAUUGCAGUUAUGCAUAUAUUACGUGGGACAGAAUCAAUUAUUUUCCUUUUGACCUUUUGGAUCAAUUUUAACUACAAUAUUUUUGCAUGUUUGUUCUUUUCUCAAUAAAAGGAAAAUUAUCUUCGUCAAUAAUCCCCUCAAAAGUACUAGCUUUCUCUUUAAUGCGUUCUUAAUAGCAAAGCAUUUAUACUGAUCUUUUAUCCCUUAGGAAGGUUCUAGUUGUCACAGAUUAAGCAUUUUGCAGAUCCACGGGCCAUUAUGUCUUUUAAGAUUGCUUUUAUAAUGGGUUUCUGCCUUGGGUUCAAAAUUGCAGCGAUUUUUUUUUUUUUUUUUUUACUGAAUGUAACCAUCUCCAACAGGCCUUUGCGCGCAUCCAUCCCCCUUUGCUUGCCAUACUGUUGAGUUAUGAUCCUUGAAUUUAGAAAAAUCACUCCUUACUAGUGUGCUAAUUAGUCUUAGUUGGACAAAUGUGAUCUAUCACAUUGACUUACAAUCCAUUUGCUACCUUAUAUGUAUAGUUUUAUUUGUAGCUCUGUCUGGAAUAGUCAUGAGUGACCUUUUUUUAAUCAAGUUUUACUGAGUUUGUUGGAAAAGUAAUAUUCCCAUUUAGUGUACAGGUGAGCAACUAGUUAUUAGUCCAUCCAUUGUGUGUAAGCAGUUCUGCUGGUUUUGUUUUAAAGUCCCCUCAUUUCUAUUGUAUUGUUAGCUUUAUAUACUAUGGAUGGUUUUAGAAUUAGAUGUGCAACCGCUUGCAAAUUACUUGGAACUUAACGAUAUGAUGAAUUUGAUUUGUUAUAUGAAUAGCAUCUAUCACAAAACCAAGUAGUUUUUUUCAUUGUCUUCUUGUGCUUUUUCUCCUUCUAUAAUUUCCUAAGCAAAUUUAGUUAGACCGUGUUGUUCUUGUCUGAUUUUACGUACGAUUUCUGAUGCAAUGCAAUCCCUCCCUUAAUGAUUCUAGUAGUGUUCCGCCAGCCACAAUGUGCUAUGUAGCAUCACAAUUUUGCAUGCUGGUAGAAGCUUUAUUCUUUAUGUUAUAUGGGUCAUAAAGCUCAAUGUCAGUUGGAUGCAGGAACAACAUUUUGCUUUGUUGCAGCGGGAGACAGAGAAACUUCGGGGUGAUAUAGAGAAAAUGCGAAGUGAACUCAGGUGCGAUUUCCGUUCUUAAAUCUUUGUGCUGCAUUUCUUUGUAAGGAAAUUUUUCUGGUCUUUACUUUGAGCAUCUAUAUCCUGAGGCAGAUACGAAAUUGACAAGGUCACUGCUGGGCAACGGCUGGAUUUAAACCUUGAAAGAGGGUAAGGCAUAAAGUAGUUUUACGCAUGCUAAUCUACUUCUAUACUGCAUCCUAAAGUCAGUCUUGUAUUAUAUUACUAUAUACUUCUUUUUUCGCUACAUAGCUUCUAUCUACAUUAUGUGCGAGGAUUGCACUUGGGAUUAUCUAAAGAAUUAAGUCUCCUUUUUGUUUGUAAUCUUAACUUGAACAAUAUAGAUGUUUUAAGCCUCAUACCGAGAUUGGCUCAAUCCUUACAUUUUCACUACACUGUCCUCGUUGUAAUUGAAGACAGAAGUCCCUAAAUAAUUUCAAUUAAAAUAACUCUAUAUCUUCCUGUUUUUGUAGACUAGCAGUCUUAGCUUUCAAUCACGAGUAAGGCGGCCAAAAUUAGAAAAGCAAUACGAGAAUUCAUACUUAUCAUCUCUGUACUCUUUUCAAUUAGCAUCUUUGUACUUAUCAUUGAUCCACAGGAAGAAAGUCUACAUUGAACAUGAUCUAAAAGCACUGAUUUUGUUUGACCGGCUGCAAGAUCUUGUUCAACUGCAUUUAUUUUCUGAUUUUUAGUUUCUUCUCAUAAGCAUUCCUUCUGUUGUUUUGAAAGCAAUCUAUCUUGGGCAGUAUGUGAUGUCAAUCAAUUUUUACAAAUUCUUUAUUUUAGCUGUUGUUCUGCAUGAUAAUUCAAGUGUAUGAAUGGACCUGAUCAUCAAGUUGCUGUGUCACAGUAACAUCAAGGCUAUGAUAUUGAACUGAGACCUGUUACUACUGGCAACGCCUCCCCAUCUAAUUAUUGAAGAAUACCUGGACUCUUUCAUGUGCUGAUAUGAUUAAUCUAAUAAAUGUAGGCGCAUACGUGAUGAACUAGCCAAGCAAGGUGCUGAAACUACAGAGCUCACUACGAAGCUUGACCGGGUGCGCUACCUUGAUAUAAUUGGAAAAGAGGGGCACAAAUUUCUAUGGAUGUAGUUAUUUGGCGAAAAAAUUAACACUUUUCUCUUUUUUUAAUUUUUUCUGCUUUUGUAACUAUGGGCCAAAUACUUUAGAAUCCCUAAAAUGCCCUUCCCCCUCAUCUCUUAUCCUGGGCCACAAAUGGGACAGGACCAUCUUCAGCCAAAAAGCAAGCUGGCCUCAAGUUCCAAAAACAGAAACAAGGGCCCUAAGGAAAAAAAGUGGAUUUUUUUAAUGUCUUUUUCAUUUAAAGGCUCAUGGAUGCCUGCAUCUUGCAAUUGGUUUAACACAGCUUCUGCAUAUUCUGAUGGGCAGGAAAUCCAUGCUUUGAGGGCUCAGCUCGAGGCAGCGAAACUUGAUGUCAUAAAGUAUUGCGUAGGGACCCUUGUUUCAGUAGCAGCGGUUGGCAUUGCUGUUCUCCGCAAUUGGAUGUAAAAACAUUCUUUCUUUUGGCAAUUCCCAUGAAAAAGGAGCAGCAACGGAAGUUCUUUUCCUUUCUGGAUACAUUGGCCACAAAUUGUUGUAAUCGUCUGUAGAAACUAUCAACAUCAUUACACAGCAAUGUCAGGAAGUAAAAUUUGUGAGUUGGCUCAAUUAUCUAGGCCUAUUUAGGUCCAUGUUUUACUGUAGAACUUGAAUUAUGUUCCUCUCUCCGAUCUGUAAUGUGGUCGGCAUCCUUUUUGCUUGUUCUCUUGGAGUUCGUUCCGAAUCUAAUGGUCCGUGAGAUAAAGAUGCAACAAAAAUCACAAAGCAGAAGAGUUCAGAAUAAAAUGUCCCUUAGUAAUCUUGGAUGGGGAAUUUCGCUAGUCAAGCUACGGAUACAAGGUAUGUAGGAAGUUCUUUCUUCGUCUCGCAUAAUGCUUUAUUGCUCCUGUAUUUGUCCCUCUUUGCUUUCCGGGGAAGUGCAACUUCAGUUAGAACGUAGAAUGCUCAAACUAUUGAUUUUUUGCAUUCUAUAAUCCCGGAAUGUGUCUAAUUGAUUUCCGCCAAUGGCACGGAUUGUCAUAUCCAGAAACCAGAUCUAUGCUACUAACCAACGUUUGUAAUGUAGCUUUUAUACCGAAUGUUUCGCCCUUGGCUUUUUGAUGCUGGAAGCAUGCACACAUCACAGUAUUUUGUUUUAUUCUUUAAGCCGAGAUUAAAUCCGAAUUUAGAAUGCCAUUUGUGUUAUUUGCGAAGCAUGUGUGGAGGAAAAGAUGUUUAGUGACAAUUAUAUAGCUGCAUUUACCGCACUUCAAUCAUUUCAAGAGCUUCCUGUUUUUGUUGUGUACUUUUGCACAAAAUUAUUUUGGAUUUGUAAAUAUGUGCGGUGAAAUUUGAUGCACUGACUGGCCAUGUAGACUAUUUACUGGUGAUCAUUUUAUUUACUGGUGGCCAUGUAGUAUGUGUUGGUGAAUGUAAUGCUACAUAAUAAUGUCUAUAGAUGGUAUAAAUGGAAUUCUCUGUUGGUAGAUGCCAACAUUACUAAGAGAAAGAACAACAGGGAGAGAUGGAAUGUAACUUGGUGCAAUAUGAGAUUUUGUUUUGAAAAUACGAAUUUGGAAUGAAUUUUUCCUUCAAAAUCCAUGUUGUUCUGGUUAUAAUUACUUUUCGAUCUUAUUUUUGUAAUUUUGAAUAUUCCUAGGAACUUGCUGUUAAAUUUAGUGCUUGUUAAUGAUGCAUCUUACAAAUGAAGGUGUUGAUAUGAUUAUUAUGCAAUUAAAGUCAUUAUCUUGAGCUUUUUAAGGUGGGAAAAAAUAUCAUAGCCAUAAGAAUAUAGUAAAAUGGGAACAAAUAUCAGCAUUGGGCUACAAUUUUUUUCAAUUUUUAAGCAAUGCUCGGUUUACAAUGCGAAGAGGAUUAUAAACCCUGCAACAUCAAAUUUUCUCAAUUAGUUUUAUCACUGUUUUUCUUUUUUUAAUAUCAAAAACUACAAAAAGGUACGUAAAUCCUAAACAUUCUUCGAUGACGUGUUGUAUGAUUACAAUAUUUUUUUGGUGGCAAACGUAGCAUUUCUCAUUUUUUGUUUAAAGUAUCAAUAAACAGGGUUAUAAAUCUCCAAUUAUUGGCUAUAUACAUUUAUAUAAAGUAGGCAUGUGGUGGGUGAUUUUUAGGUCCAGUGGGAACAACUGGCUGUAGCAAUAGAAAAAUGUAUGACACAUCAUGUAUUGGAUAGAGUCCAAAUCAAGAUAAGAUAAACUGAGUAUUGACACGAGCUUUUUUCGGUGGCUAUUUCCUCUACCAAACUAAGUAAUAAAUUCACAUGCCCACAUAACUUUAUACAAUAGGUUUUUUAAUCAGCUCCAAUGGUCAAAAACUUGAUAGCACCAAUGACUUGGUGCUAUUAACAGUAUAGUAGUCUAGUUCUAUAUAUAUAUAUAUAUAUAUAUUGUACUCUUAACACCUAUUCAUGGGUGUUAAUUAAUAGAUAACGCUACAGUAGGCAUUUGAUGAGACAAAAGAAUAUUGCAUUCCAAUUGUCUUUUUUUGCUUCACACGUCAUUCAUUUGAAACUUUGAAUGAUGUUUUACCUCUCAAUGUUUCUGUACCUGUUGUCUUCGUAUAAGACAAGUUGGGUCUAGAUGAAGCUUAAUGUAGAAAAAAAAAAAAAGAGGUUUAAUUGUUCCACUAAAACCUCCCAAAGAGCACUUUUGCUGCGGUAAAAAGAAGCAGCUUCUAAUUUGAGCUUGGUACUUCUUGAAGCCAAUGGUUAUUUCAACUAUCCACAUUGCCAAAAACAUUCAAUAUGCCACGUGCUAUGUGCUUGACCAUUACUUCUUAGGGCACAGAAGAUAUUUCAGAUAUCAGGCCUAGAAAGUAGGAAGUAGUUUUUUUUUCUUUUUUUUUUUUCCUUUUCUUUUCUUUAUUUUUGUGAGAAAAAGUAGUAAGCUGUUUUGUUUCUUCAUUUUAAGAAAUGAAUCCUAGUUGAUUCACAUUUAAAAAAUGAAUCCUAGUUGAUUCACAUUUCCAGCUAAAUUUAUUUUUAAAUGAAAUAAACGAAGCGGGUAGCAUACUACCUAUCUCUCUCUCUCUCAAAAAAAAAAGAAUUCAACUAGAAUUGUGAAAUAAUUAGAUUAUGAACUUAAAACCUUAGUUAGUAACUAUUAUGUUCCUAAACAAUUGUACUAGGGACGGCCUUUGUUUGCGUAAACAAUUAUUUCAAUACAGUUGAUUGAAACAACACCUUUUUAGCAAAAUGGCUAAACUUUUUUUUUUUGAUAGCUUUUUGGGGUUCUUAUUUUAGUUAUUUCCCAUAAUAAAAAAGAAAAACAUAAAAAAAUUGCCUGAACUAUGAACUAAUUUGAGUUGGCUAUUCAAUCUUUUAAAAUUUUAAUUUUACUGCUCUAUCUUAUAAUUUGUUUUAUUAUCAAGUCAGUCAAUGGUACUUUGAUUUUAAAUUUGAAUGCAGCAUUUAUUUUUACAUAUUUAAUUAGCAUACUUUAUGUAAUUCUCGAAAUUAUAAAUUUAUUAAAGUUAGUAGUUCACUUAAAUUUUGAAGUCAAAAUAUCAUUGACUGACUUAAAUCAAACAAAUUAAAAUAUUGGAUAGUAAAAUAAAAAAUUUUAAAAGAUUGAAUAGCCGAUUUAAAAUGGUCUAUAUAAUUCAGACAAGUUCUGUAAGUUUUUACCUAAUGGUCUUUUGUACUUAACCUUUUUUUUUGCCCUAUUUUUGUUGCUUAUUUGUUUCGUCGACCUUUCGAGGUCUCAAGUUAUAUCACUUCUGUAGCUAAGUUUAUUUACUAUCAAUAAAUAAAAAAAAAAUAGUCUUUUAUAUAUUGAUAGAUACCAAGUAGUCUUAUUAAAAACUUUCUUUUAAGAGAUCCGGUCAGAAAAUACUAUACAUAUAAUCCAAAAAGUCAGAACCGGAAUUUUUUAUUUUAUUUUAUUUUAUUAUUAUUUUUUUUUUUAUGAAAUAAACCUUCAACCUUUUUAAAAGUGUGACAGCGAAUUACUCUAUACUGUAAUUAUUAUAUCAAGAUACUAGGCACAGAUAGGUGCUCCGUGACUUGAGCAUUAUAAGUAAUAAAUAAGUAGAUCAAUAAAAAAAAAAUAGUGACUAAUAACUGGUGACUAAUGGACAAAGGUGAUCACCUCCUCUGAUCUUAUAAUAUAUUGCCAUUUUUUUGGGUAAAAGAGCAUGAUUCAACAUCAGAUCAAAUUAUCUUUCUUUUUUUCUUUUUAAUCCUUUUUUCACACCACCCAAAGUGGACAGUGCAAUGUUGUAAUCAACCCCCCUAUCUAAAUGUCACGCCCCGGAUUACACGUUCUCCGGGCACGCCGACAAAUCCGCCGUAUAUAAAGAAAUUUUUCCUGUAUACGAAGCGAUAGCUGUACAUGUAAAUCAUACAAUACUACAAACAGUAGUAUAGAGCUACUUGAAGAACCAGAAAUAAAACAAACCGAGUUCCAUAUACAUACGCCAAAAUUCAAGAUACAAGACUACUCGCACUGGCGAAUUAAAUAUGUAUGUACAUGAACUCCAACAAAAACAACUACCUGCUGUAGGGGCACCUUUAGCUGGGCUCGUCGGGUAGGGCUCUAACUCGCGACGCCCUUGCCUCAAUCUUGAUCAGCAACAGCAGCAGCCGAAGACGAAGGCUCUGCAAAAACGGGGUAACAACAGGGCGUGAGAACUACUGUAAAACAAGUAGUCCUCAGUGGGUGCCGCCCUCAACAUCAUCGGUCCACCCACUAAGUCUACAGAAGGGAGCAAAGGUAAUAAUAAAUGCCGGAAUAAAAUUUACAGCUACCAUUUAUUACUCUAUCAUGCUCUAAGCUAAUCUACUGUAGAAAUGUCAAUUCUGACCCAAUCUCUUUAGGGACUGUAAACAUACCUAUCCCAGGGACUGUGAACACACCGGUCCCGCCCAGUUGAGACUAUCCAGCUACCUCCACACUAACCAGUCCGUGGAGAGCAAGUCUAACCGGCAUGCACGACACCAACGCAAAAGCACAGCGCCCGCCUCCGGAGUGGCACUCGGGGGAGCUACCCAACCGAGUAUGCAGCGUAUCUCUGUCGAGCUCAAUCAGGCUCUCUCGAGCCAAAGUCUAAGUAACCAACACUAACUGGUCAAACAACUCAUAGUCACGUGCCAUCGGCACAAUCCGACGCCAAAAAGGCGAUAGGGGUCCACCGUCAACCCCGACGGCCCCCAACAGUCCGGAACAGUCUGAACGCUACUGUAAAAAUACACUCGGUAUCUCAGCAAGAGCGUAACAGAAAACUAAACUACCUGGGACAUCCGUCGCCUCGAUACUGCGAUGAUGCAAAAUUACAACGGCUCCUAGAGCUAAAUUAGGUAGUUUAGACAGAUGACAGGUCCAAAACGCUGAUUUUCUCCUAAGUCAAAUUCCAAGUCCAACAUGUAUAUUUAUGGUUUGCCAAUAAUGUACUCAAUGCUGAUUUCAUUCAUGAUACAAUCAACAAAAUGAACUACAACAUAAUUUACAAAAUUGAAAAUCAUACAUGUCGACUAAUACUGUGCUUAGGAAUAAACCGAUGUAACCCACCUCAAAAGCUAAACCCUGGCAGUGAAGGAGGUCACCGGAGUCCCUGCCAAGCUCGGCGCAAUCCAGCGAACCAGCGACAACAACACUUCACGGAUCUAGACCUAGAAACCCAUAAUAAGCAUCAAUUCUGCCCAAAACAAUAGUAGCAGAGUGGAACAGGGUUUCGACCAAGCUAACCUUCACCAAAAUUGACAAUCUUGGGCUUCGUGGAUUUCUCUCGAAGUCCUGAAUCCAACGAACCAAGUCUCGCUGCAAUCCGACGCUCCUACUUCGUGUACGAGUCGAAAUGCCAACGGUCGACGUAGAAAAUCUGCGAAACAGCAUCCUUGAGCUCGAAAGUGAUAAAGACUUGCCAUGGUUGGAGAAAUUGAUGAACAUCUCACCUCAACAGCGAUUCUAGCACCGGCGCGACGUCAAGAACGGCAAAAAUGCACCCCCGCCCGGCCUCGUCGCGAUGCAACGGAAACAAACGUGUGCUCGAACGGCUCCGCGGCACGACGUCGGCAAUAGAACAACUCCACCCAAGCUCCUCCACCACGCUCGGUCAUGCACAAGGAGAGGAGAGAGAGAGUGCUGAAGUCCUCUCCUCUUUGCUCUCUCUAUCCUAUAUAGGAGGGAGAAGGAGUGGGUAAAAACAACGAGGGAAGGAAAGACCAAAAAGCCCUUCAUCUAACCUGGCGUACCGGUACACGGGCCCACGUACCAGUACUAUAAGCCAACCCGAGAGCAGUCCGCGCACAGCCUGUGCAGUGUACCGGUACACCAUGAUGGCUGUACCGGUACAGCAAACAGAAAAACAGCUAUUUGCAGAUUUUUUCUUGCUAAAUGCUGCUCUCGCGUCGCACAGAGUCCGUUUUGCGUCUAUUUUGCGCCAACGCGACUCAGACUUGUCCCGACACUCUCUAGAACUGUCGACAAGUCUUCACUGCGCACACCAGGGAUCUCACACUAAACCCUUGCCUUCCAUUGCCAGUCUGCCAUGCAAUGUUGUAAUCAAAGGCUUUUUUUGCAUUUAGCCCCCUGGCAAAUUUUUAUUUUAAAAAUAAUUCUGUCAAAAUUUAAUUUGCAAAAAUGGCCCUGGGCCGGCCACGCAGGCGCCACGUCAGUGCCACGCGGGCAGGGCCGGGGUCCGUGUAUUAAGUUGAACACGGUGAACCAUUCACCGUGUUAAAACGCGUGAAUGGUUCACCUUGUUUAGUACGUAUUUUUUGUAUAUUGAAAAGAGGAAUAGGGAGUAGGGAUGUCAAUAUGUAUGGAUAUCCGAAAUAUUAUCCGAAUCCAAACCCAAAUAAAUUAUAUAUAUAUAUAUAUAUAUAUAUAUAUAUAUAUAAAUAUAUAUAUAUAUAUAUAUUAUAUAAAAUAUUUAAUAAUUUUUAUUUCUUAGAUCUUCAUCCAACGAUAUAGAUUUUUAAAACCCGCUGGGUUCAGGUUCGGAUUUCGAGUUUUUGGUUGGAUAUUGAUAUAUUUUAUAUAAUUUGAAAAGUAUAACUUUACUAGUUUAUUAAUGUAUCUUUAUUUUAUCAUAAAAAUUUACCGUCAAAUAGAAUAUGCCAAUUUGCAUAAAAAAUCCACUAGUUUUGGGCUUUUGCAAAACCGGGCAACCUUUUUCGUUUUUAUAGAUUCGGUCCGCUUUUUCAAAAAGAUGACCAAACUACCCCUCUUUCAAAAUGCAUAAGAAGUACAUGCAUUAAUUAUCUUGAAAAAUACAACUGACAAAUUAUUAUUACAGUUAUCUUUUUCUUGAAAAAUAAAAUUCUCAUUAACAUACAAAUAAAAAAUAUCAAAUAAUAAAAGUAAAAAAGAAAGAAUGGAAUACACUUUAAAUGGUGCAACAUCGUUUCAAAUUUUGUAAUAUUUUUUCUAAAUAGUGUAAUAUUUGUGUAAACAGUGCAAUGUUUGCACAAGUUAUAUAAUGUUCCAUAAUUUUUUAUACUAAAUUACGAAUAAUAUAGUAUACGACGCGCAAAUAAUAUAACAUAUUAUAAUAUACUAUAAAAAUCAUGCAUUAUAUGUAUAAACGGUAAAUAUUUUAUAUUAUUUGUACAAAUAUUUACACCAUUUGUAUAGAUGUUGUACUAUAAUGAGAGAAUGUUGCACCAUUUAGAUAUUAUAUUACACUCUUUCUUUUUAAAAAUUAAAAUUUAUUGUAUAUUAAAUAAAGUAUUAAAUUUUUUGAAAAUGACGACUGUUAAGUUAUAAUUACAUGUACCUUUCUCGAGAGACGAGAAUCCUCAUUUAAUUAAGAUAAAAUAAAAAAUAAAAUAUCAUUAAUACAAUGAAAGAGUGCAACAUCCUCAUAAAGAGAGCAACAUAGUCUCAAAUAGUGCAAUAUAUGCAUCGUUAAUACACAUAUUGCAUGAUUUUUAUACAAAAUUACGAAUACUAUAAUAUAUUACGUGAAAAUAACACGAAAAUAAUAUAACAUAUUAUAAUAUACUAUAAAAAUCAUGCAUUAUAUGUAUAAACGGUGAAUAUUUUGUACUAUUUGUACAAAUAUUUACACCAUUUGCAUAGAUGUUGCACUAUUAUGAGAUAAUGUUGCACCAUUUAGAUGUUAUGUUGCACUCUUUCUUUUUAAAAAUUAAAGUGCAUUGUAUAUUAAAUAACUGUUAAAAUUUUCUUGGAAUGACAGCUGGCUAGUCAUAAUAUUAUGUACAUUUUCUCGAAAGACGAGAAUCCCUCAUUAGUUAAGAUUAAAAUAAAAAUAAAUUAUCAUAAUACAGAAAGAUUGCAACAUUAGAAUAAAAUAUGAAGCAUUCUCUCAAUCGUUACACAAUUUAAGAGAUGUUGCACUAAUUUGAGAGAAAUGCUGAUCUUUCAUCUUAAUUAAUAUAGUUUACUUUUUGUAUUUUCGUCUUAAAAUUAGCAUAUCUCGUAUCUCGGAAAUACAUACAAUUAUUAACUAACUUUUAGUUUCAUUUCUAAGAAAUUGCAACUUUUUAUUUAGUAGAUAAGCACUUUAAAUUCUUUUUUUAAAAAAAGAGUGGAACAUAUCAUCUAAAUAGUGCAAAUAUUCUCCUCAUAAUAGUUAAUAUAUAAACAGAAUGGGUGUAAAUAUUAUACAAUAAGACAAAAUAUGCAUCGUUGUUUUAUAAAUAUGAAAUAUAUCAUUUUUAUAGGUAUUUGUUGAUAUGUUAUAUUAUUUCGGUUGUUAUUUCACUAAUAUAUUAUAUUAUUCGAUUUAUUGUAUAAAAAUCAUUCAAUAUGUGUAUAACGAUGCUCUAUUCGCACGUUUAUUCACAUAAAUAUUGCACUAUUGAAAAAAUUUGUACUAUUGAACUAUGUUACACCUUUCAUUGUAUAUAUGAUACUUUUUAUUUAUACUUAAUUAAGACUGAGAUUCUCGUCUCUCGAAAAAUUACAUAAUAAUUAUAACUUAAAACAGUUGUCAUUUUCAAGAAAUUUAACACUUUAUUUAUAUACAAUGCAUUUUAAAUUUUUUUAAAAAAGAUCAACAAUAAAAUCUAAAGUGUGCAACAUUAUCUCAUAAUAUCACAUCUAUGCAAUUAACAAUACUUUGUACAAAUAAGUGCACAAAUAUUUACCUGUUUUAUAAACAUAUAAUUGUUUGUCCUAGUGCCACUAAUCGUCUAUUAAUUUUGAUGAUCAACAUAAUUAAUCACGAUAUUGACUAAUCUUUCUUAUCUUGAGUCUUGUGUUUUAGAUCUCUCUAUCUUCAAAAAGGAUUCAAGAUGGGCAAUAUUCUAGCACCAAGCUUCACUACUUGAAGCUGUGAUUUGCUUCUUUUGUCAAAUAGACAAACUCACUCUCUUCAUUCUUAAUUUGAUUAAUAUUAUACCUUAUGAUUAAAAUGAGAAACUUUGAGCUAAGUUUAAACUAUUCAUCUUAUCACCUUAUAGAUCACUUAAACAAAUUUCUAAAUUUAUGAUUAGGUGAAAAGGACUUUUAAAUAUUCAAAAAUUGCUCAAAUUCUGUGUUCUGUAAAAUUGCAAUUUCUGGAACCUGUUCUGGGCGCCCUAAAGUGGAUCCGAAUCUUUUGAGACCUUUUGGAUCCUCCCUGUUUGCUGUUCGGGUGAUCCAGAAACACCAAGACUAUUUGACUUGACAGGUUGCGACAACAGGCGGCGCAAAAUCUAGGCGCCCAGAUUUUAUGGAAGAAAAGCGGCGCACGCAAUCUGGGCUGUCUAGCAAGAAAGUCAGCACGAGAUCUGGGCGCCCACAACUUUCUGAUGGCCCAAAUCCAGAGGAAGCGGCGCGUGUCAGAAAAGCGGUUCCUCGUGUUCUGUGCACCCACAACUUUUGACGGCCCAGAACUUACGAAGUCAAGAAAAGCUGCGCAUGUCAGAAAAGCUGUUCCUCGAGAUCUGGGCGCCCACAAAUUUUUGACGGCCCAAACAUACAAAGUCAGGAAAAGUGGCGCACGUGGUCCGACAGGCAGUUGGCGUGCACAAACUUCUGGGCGCCCGGAAAUAGUUUUAGGGCGCCCGAAAGUGCAACCGACAGAGGCUGCCCGAGGCUAUAAAUAGAUGGUAUUGAGGCCUCUCUCAGCAGCAACUUGAUAGUUCAUUUGAGCUUAAAAACUUCAGUGAUCUUAAUACUCUUAGCUCUCAAUUCUCUCUCUAAACUUGAGUGAAACUUGUAGUGAGAUUUAAUCUUGUAAAAAAAAAGAGAGAAAAGCAAAAUCUUGAAGCUUGAAAGAAGAAGGAGUUGAUGUGAAGGCUUGGUGCUUGCCCGCAAAAGUAUCAUCUAGUGGAGAUCCAACAUUCUCGAGUAUUGAGAAGUUGGCGGGGACGUAGGCAAAGUGCCGAAUCUCGAAACAAAUUAAUCGUGUGCUUUUCGAAUUUGCAUUUCUUUUAUUUGCAUCGGGUUUUUAAUUUGCUUGAUUAUUUGGAUUUUUAUUUUAGAAACCUAAUUCACCCCUCCUCUUAGGUUGCCAUUUUGAUCCUCAAUAAUGCAUAAUUUUUAUAGUAUAUUGUAAUAUGUUAUAUUAUUUUCAUGUUAUUUUCACGUAAUAUAUUAUAUUAUUCAUAAUUUUGUAUAAAAAUUAUGCAAUAUUUGUAUUAACGAUGCAUAUAUUGCACUAUUUACAUAAAUAUUGCAUUAUUUGGAAGAGAAUGUUGCACUAUUUGAGACUAUGUUACACUCUUUAAAAGAAUGUUGCACUCUUUUCAUUGUAUUAAUGAUAUUUUAUUUUUUUUUUAUCUUAAUUAAAUAAGAAUUCUCGUCUCUUGACUCCGAGAAAGGUACAUGUAAAUUAACCGACUUAGCCCAGUAUCAUUUCUAAAAAUUAUUUAACACUUUAUUUUAAUAGUACAAUACAUUUAAUUUUUAAAAGAAAGGAGUGCAAUAUAAAAAAAUCAGUGCAACAUUCCCGUCAUAAUAGUGUAAGUUUAGUACAAAAUGGUGUAGAAUACUUGUACCAAAUAGUCUCUUAACAAAUCUCUCACGUUUAAAUAUAUAAAUACAUUAUUUCUUCUAUAGUAUAAUUAGAAAUAUAUAUUAUUUGGUCGCGCUAGAUACUAUAGUUAUUGCGUAAUUUGAGUAUAUUAAAAAUUGUGCAAAACAUUAGAUUGUUUUACUACAAAUAUUAUAGCUAGUUGAGAAUAUAAGUUGCACAAAUUUGGAACGAUGUUGACUCAUCUUAAGGUGUAGUUCCUUCUUUCUUUUUACUUUUAUAUUUGAAGUUUUAUUUGUAUGUUAUUGGAAAUGUUAUUUUCCAAAGAAAAAUGUAAAUUAUAAUAAUGACUUGUCAGCUGUAAUUUUUCAAGAAAUUAAAUAUAUGUCACUUCCUUAUUGCAUUUUGAAAGAGGGGUAAGUUUGUGGUCCAUCUUUUUGAAAACGGACCGAAUCUGUAAAAGACGAAAUAUGAGGGCCUCGGUUUGCAAAAGCAUCAAAACCAGUGGAUUUUUAUGCAAAAAUUGGCCGAAUAGCAAUAAUAAAAUACUACAAUUUUUUUUUUAAAAAAAAUCCUAAGUUAAUAGAAGUUAUAACUUCACUUAAAAAUUAUUAAUAGUGUGGUGAAAAGAAGCAAAACUAUAAAUUUUCUUUUUAAUACUUCGAUGUCCUAUAAACUAUUAUUACUGAAUAAACAGCCUUAAAUUAUUAUUUAUUUAAUUAUUAAUAGUAUACGAUUUGAACUAAAAUAUAACCUGGGCUCUUUUUAAAAACUACCCUAGUAUACUUAAUAGCAUGUAGUAAUUUUUUAAACAAACAAUGUUUCGUGUGGGCACCAGGAUUGCCUUUAUCUUUCUAUAUAUAUAUUACUAUAAUAGGCAGGACGUGUAAUAAACCUGAGGUUAGUAAAAUGGGCAAAUUGUUCAUUGGUUACUAGAUAAAACAAACCCAAUAACAAAUAAAAAAGCAAAAUGUUUCUAAAAUUUAUACAUUUUUCUUUCUCUUCUUUCUUUUACAAGCCUAAAUUUUCAAUAAAGUGUUUUUCUCUUUCUCUUUUCUCUAUCCUUCCACCGCUAUAGCCCAACUCGGAAGCCCAUGCACAAUUUACCAAAAGUAACCAGUCAUAGUGCCCGCCGUGCUACCUUUCUAUUAAAUCUGUAAUAUUGAGAAAGUAUAUAAAAUAUUUUUAAAUAAAAAAUUAUUAUUUAUCAUAAAUUUUAAUUUUAGUUAUAUAUGAUGGAAUAGUUUAAUCUAAUAUUGUAUUCUAAUAAUUUAAUUUUUUUUGACAACGAUAAAUGAAAUGAAUAAUAUGAAGAUUGAAGGCCGGAAAGAAGACAUAUGAAGGCGAAAAAGAUUAGAUAUUCAACUUAUAAAUUAUUUUUGUUUCAUAUUAUAAUACCAUAUUUUCAUAUAAUAUUUGUACUUUGAACUAUUAGAUCAUAUUCUUGUAUCAAAUUAUAGAUAAUUGUUCUAUAAACAAAUUAAACUAUUGAUACGUAUGAUUUCAAAUUUCAAGCAGUUUGUUAGGACUCGGCUCGCCCAGACUCGAAUUAGGCUCGCUCGAGCUCUAACUAUAUAUUUUAAUUAGUAAAAAAUUGUGCAAACAUCUCAUUGUUAACACAAAUAUUAUACUAUUCGAUGAAAUAUUGCACAAUUCGAACGAUGUUGAACUCAUAUUAAAUUCUAUUCCAAUUCUUUCUUUUUAUAUCAUUUUACUUAUUUAAUCUUUUUAUUAUGUAUGUUAAUGACUGAAUUAUUUUUUCAGAAAAAUGAAUUUUAUAAAUAACACAUUUCAGCUUGUAUUUUUCAAGACAAUUAAUAUAGAUACUUCUUUAAAUGCAUUUUGAAAAGGGUUAAUUUGUCAUCUUUUUGAAAAACGAACCGAAUCUUAAAACGAAAUGGAGGCCCGGUUUGUGCAAAAGCUCAAAACCAGUCGGAUUUUUUUGCAAUUGGCCCAAUAGAAAAUAAAAUAAUACCUAAUUUUUUUUUUAAAAAAAUCCUAAAAUUAAUAAAUGUUAUAAUAUUAAAAAUUAAUAGUGUUGAAAAAGAGCAACAUAAAUUCUUUUAAUACUUUCGAUGCCUAAAACUAUUAUCUACUGUAAUAAAACAGUUAAAUAUUAUUAUUUAUAUAUAAUUAGAUACUAUGAACUUAUAAUAAAUAACCUUAGGGUGUGGGGAUGUUGGUCUUAUUUUUAAAACCCCCUAUUACUUAAUACAUUAUAUGAUUUUAAACAAACAUGUUUCUGUUUGGCACCUAUCCGAGGAUGCCUUCUUUCUUCUUUAUAAUAUAUAUAUAUAUAUAUAGCCGGAGUGAAUAACCCUGAUUAUUAAAAAUUGGGCAAAAUGUUAUUGUCUAGUAAAAACAAACCAACUAGACAAAAUAAAAAACAAAUUUUCUAAAUUAUACAUUUUUAUUUUAUCUUCUUUCUUUACAGAGACCUAAAUUUUUCAAUAUUUUUUUCAUCAUUUUCCUUUCUCUACUCUCACCCUAAGUGGCCAACAUCGACACCCUCCAAGUUACAUCGGGGGGGGCGGGGGGUAUAAACAGAUAAUCCCGCCGUUCCGAUACCUUUCUAUUAAGUAAUUUGAAAGUAUAUUAAAAUCAUAUUUUUAAAGUAAAAAUUAUUAUUUAUAUAUAAAUUUUAAAUUUCUAGUUAUAUAUGAUUGAAAUAGUUUAAAUCCUAAUCAUAUCCUAUAACAUUUAUUUUAUUUUUUGACCGCAUAAAAAAAUAAUAUAAUAUGAAGAUUGAAGGCGGAAGAGAAGACAUAUGAGUGCUUGAAAAACUUACGAUAUUACAAUCUUAUAAAUUAUUUUUUUUCAUAAUUUAUAAUACCAAUAUUCCAUAUAAUUAUUUGUAACUUGAACUGAUUAGACAUAUUAUUGUAUCAAAUAAUUAUAAUUCUAAUAACAAAUUAGAACUAUUAUCGUCAUGAUGUUGAGAUAAUUCAAGUCAGCUUUGUUAAUGACUCGGCUCUGCCGACUCGAAUUUAGCUCGCUCGGAGCUCGGCUCGAAUUAAUUUCAAACCAAGCUUGAGCUUAAAUUUAGGCUCAAAAUUAAUUUCAAGCCGAAUUUGAGCUGAGAUAAGCUCGCUCAAGCUCGGCUCGUUUCCACCCCUACCCUCCAUCUGGUUUGUUAUAAUUAUAAUAUAAUUCGGCCGGAGUGCGGCAAAAUUUUUUUAGAGUUCAAAAUAUAAUAAAAUUUUAAAACUUUAGUUAUAUUAUCGUCUACUGACUAAACUACAGUUUGGCUCCUACAUUACAACUUAUCAAUUUUAGAAAAUAGAUACCAAUAAGAAGAAAUAUCAAAGUUGAAAAUAAAUUUGAAAGAAUUCAAAAUUCAUUAUUUUCUUUUUAAUAUUAUUUUUUAAAAAAUCCUUAAAAAUACUAAAAAUAGUAAAGUAUUUAGAAAAAUUAAAAAAAAGAGACCCAACUCCAACCAUCUGCAGAGACUAACUGAUCCAACUACAGUUCUCUCCAAUAUAGAAACCAACUAGAAGAAAAUGUCAAAGUUGGAAAUGAAUUUAAAAGUAGGUAAGAACGCACAAAGCUUAUCUAAAAUAUGAAUCAUUCUAAAUCUGUUAUCCAACCUUUCAAAAUUUUGGUUUACUAUCCGACCUUUCGAUUUAUUUGAUUUGAGUCAGUUACCCGUACUUUGAGUUCUUAAAGCUAAUUACUUAUUUAAAUAAAUUUAUUGUUGCGAUAACUCAUUACCUGUAAGGACUGAGAUUUUGAUAGUGUACCUGAACUCUCUGUUGAUAAUGUUUUUGUGUGUAAUUUAAUUACAUAAGCACUCGUCAAGUUUCGGAAGAAAACGAGUUAGAACGGAGAAGUUACGCGAUCUUUAGUAUUCACUUAAGUAAAUAGUAACUCCGGUUUUCCGGAGAAGCCGCGAAGUAGUGCUGGCUAUUGGCGCGUAUUGGACUCCGAACAUAGGACUCCAAUAGCUCGUUUCGAACGGCUCAACUAUUCUAAACCCAAUGGCAUUGACGGAAUUGGGUUCUGAUGCACGGUUGUCGAGAAAAAGGGGUUUGAUUGAAAUUACAUGUUUUCAUAUAUGUAGUUAUAUGGUGAAAACAAAGAGGGAUGGUUUUAUCACAAAUCGAGAACCAAUCGGACGAAGUAAGAUGCUAGAUUCGAUGCCCCAGUCGUGCUGAACGUGCUGGUGCGAUCCAUUCAGAAAUCUGACGGACGGAUCUUCAGGAAUCACGAAAAGUCCGCUAUGGGGUCAAAUUGGCAAAAUGGUUAAAUCGCGAAAAGACCUAAUAUUUUAUGCACCGUCUCGCGAGAUUUUGAACGUUGAGGGACUUAUAAGCAUAAUGCACAUGCUGGCAGGGGGCUUAGCUGAAAUAUUACUGGAAUAGGGGGGUGUUCCGCAACAUUACACUAUAUAUAAAUAGUGUUCUAGGGUUCAACCAUAGAACCCUAACACUAAUUCGCAUUCCCAGCUGAUCUUAUCCACCCAAGCCGCACUAUAGUCCUCUGCCCUGCCCGUGCUCACGCUCCGGCCGCCAGUGAUCACCUCCGGCUGCCGGAAAAGCCACCCCGGCCUCCCCUCAACUUCUCUUUCUAACCACCUUGCCACCAGCUCGAUUGUUGUGCUCGGGGAGGCAUCAAAACCCGAGCUUCAACAUCCCCUGGCUGAGACCCAUUUUCGGCAUCUUCCCCGCCGACUCCGGCCAUCCCCGUGCCCUGCCGGAGCCCCGCGAGCUCCCUGCGGCCACUGCCGUCAGCCCAGGCCGAGCUUGGGUGACCUCGGUCUUGGCGCUCCGCCGUCGCCCCCCAUCGGCCUCGCCGCCCUCCGGUGACCUCCGGCAACCUCCUGCUUGCCGCCCCGCCGUCCCCGCACGCUGCCGGCCGCCGCUCAGAUCCCCUGCAGCCGCCCAGACCCCGUGCGGGCCAAGGCCGAUUCCUCCCGGCUCCCAAGCUCCGCCGCCGCCCACCGACGGGAGCACCACCUUCCCCUCGGCCUCCGGCGUCCAACCGUCGCUGCCCUGAGCUCCUCCGGUCACCGCGCGGCUGCCGUGGACGUAGAACCCGAGAACUAGCUAAGGGUUUUGAUCUCCUCUGCCGCGCCACCGGCCGCCUCCCACCGCCGGCCUGAGGGUUCCCCGGACCCCACCUACCGACCGCACCCUCCCCUGGCUGGGCCGCCCGCCGUCCGGCCGGCGGCGACCAACCCUAGCUCUCCCUGACUCCGGUAUGCUGUUUUUAUGUUCCAGCACAUAGUCUGACGUUUCCGGUCACCUUUUCGGUGAUCCGAUAAGUCUCCUUCACCUCGGGAAGUGAGCACGAUGAUCUAAGACUCGUGCUGAACAUCGUGUUCACCUCCGGCAGGGUUAAAGAUGUCCUGGUUUGUGUAUUAGAUGCGACCUUAGUGCUGUGCACGCUGUUUUGCUGAUUUCUGCGUCGCUCGUGCGCACGCCACAGUGGCCGGCAGUGCUCCGAAAGGUGAGCACGGCCUCCGGCACGCUGAUACCUGUCAACAGGUGUCUCGGCUUAGCCGAUUGACCUAUGGUUUGCGUGUACUGACCAUAAAAGCCCCGAAAUCGCAUGGAACAAUGUGAUUUUGGGUAAUCGGGAGGGCUUUUAUGCAAUUUGGGUUGUUGCGGCUACUGUUGGCAGCAUGGAUGAGCUAAGGGUGACCUCUGGAUUGAUUGUCCAAGGCCCCAACCUUUGCGAGGAUCAAAAAGUGAUUUUCGGUACGUUUCUCGGCAAAAUCCACCGACGGAACGCGGGUUCAGUUUGGAAUUCUUCCGACGGUGCUUUGUGAUGAUUUGCUAUGUCGCUGAGCCUUGUUGGCUGGUCACUCGCGUCAUUUCAAGGGUUCAGAAAUGACGGGUGAGCGACGGUGGGUUCCGGUGUCGAAAUAGACACUUUCGGGAGCCCGGAUCCUAACGAUUAUCCGACGAUAAUUGUUUGGAGGCGAGAUUUUGUGUUUGCUACCAGGACACACAAAUAUUAGUGUUUGAUGGCAGCGGGUGACUCGUAGCACAAGUCGGUGCAUUUCGGGACAAUUCGUGAGUCCCGGCGGAGUCCCGGUGCGAUUUUCGGGACUUCCGACGUGUUACGGUAGUUGGUUUUGGGGAAACCGAUCUCCGUGGGUUUGUUUGUGGGUGAUGGAUUUAAUGGUUAUUAGUUGUGGGUUAGACACUAACCCGGUGGACCUUUCUUAGGUCCAGUUGACAUUCUUUCGCUGUCAGGAGACAGGUGCGACAUUCGUAAAGGUGGGUACUUCGAUCCGAAGUCGGUACAGUGGUGCACGCUCGGUGAUAUCCUUCUAUUCCUGUUCUCCUGUUAUUACUAUUGCGUAGUAUAGUAUAUUGAGCCUUGCACCCCUAUUGUUUACAUCUUACUCUACUCGCUGUUUGCAUGAUUAGUAUCCUGAGUAGAAGUAGAGUAGUUAUACCAUGUUUCCUUGUUGCUCUACUUAGCUAUUCUACAUAUCCUGUAUCAUGUUUAGAGUAGAGCGGUUUCGUGAUUUCUUGUGAGAUCGGUGACCUAGUCGGUCGGUUCCUUGACUUCUGUCGUUCGAUGACCUAUGAGGUCGGUGUACCCUGAGGGGUAGGAUUGUCGGUUUGUGGCUGACGAUAGUUCCAGAUUAUAUUGAUAUACUCUUGAGACCUAUUGGUCAGUUCUUGCAUUUAUAGUUUAGUUGACCCAUUGAGUAGUAUUUGCAUAUCUUUGAGAGGAUGUUGAGUUGUUCCAUCCUAGUUGACCUGAGUGGUCGGUUCUUGUACUUCCUUACAGUUGGAUGACCUUUUGGUCGGUUAGCCCCGAGGGGCGGUGAUUGUCGGCUGGUUGCCGACGGUUGGCUAUUGAUCAUAUCCGCAUUGAUCGCCACAGCUCGAGUGCAUUUCACGUACACCAGCGGGUUGAUCCCCCGCAGGAGGGUGUUCUUUUCCGGAAAAGUGGUCGUACAUCCGACCCGUGAGCCCAGCGGUGUUCUCUUUGUGUUAGGGUUACAUGCCAGGUGUGAGCAGGUAGUGGCUUUUGCUUGAGGUCCUUAGACCGAUACGGCGGUUUAGAUUGGGUACUUUUGGACUUCUCGUCCGGUUGACGCAUAUAGCUAUAGUAGCGGUUGUUGCAUAUAUACUUACAGUUCUUUCUUUACAGUUGUCUUACUACUAUAGUUUUGAUAUCCUUGUAUGCUUGCAGUUGUACAUUACAGUAGUGGUAGUUGUGCUUUUAUAUAUAUAUCUCAUUCGUUCAUUAUCGUUGCUACUGUAUUUCACUUACCCAUACUGUUGUUUAUCUCUUCCUGAUCCGGUGAGUACUCCUUACCUUAUUUGGCUUGCGGUACCCACUAGGAGGGGAGACAUGUUUACAUGUUCUCACCUCUCCCACCAUUUUUCAGGUAUUACGGGCGGUGAGGGUUGAGACGAGACGUGAGACACGUUCGUAGCAGUCGAUAGAGCUUCCGACCCGGUUUGUUGGUUUAGUUACUACCUUCUUUACUUCUGUUGAUAUAUCUUAGACAUAUGGUUUAGUUGGUUUUGUUUACUUUGAUAUAUAUACACAUGGUUUUGUGAAAUUAAAUAAAACACUCGUGGCUUUCAUGUAAAAUAUUGGAAAUGGUUUUCUACCCCUCGUGGUAGCGUUUAAAGAAAAAGGUUCCCGUGUGGGAAAUAGAUUUAAAAAAGGUUUUCGUGGAUUUAUGAUUAAACUCUAAAUGAAAAUCUGUUGUGAAUGGUGUAUGAAUGUAUAAAUGAUUAAAUGUUGUAUAUUCAUUUGUUGUUGUUGUAUCCUGGUUAUAUGUCUUGUACUUGUGCGAUGCCGUGCAAAUACAGUGGAGACUCUGUCCGUGAGAACAGUGGACUCUCUGUAUUUGUGGUGGAUCUGGCAUACCAUGGGGGUUAGGUUUUCAAAAAAAAAAAAAAAAAAUUUGGACGCUUCCGCUAUGCAUUUAAACUAAAAAGGACCCCGGGGCGUGACAUUAUCCUUUUUUUAUAACAUUUUAUUUUAUUAGACGGGAAGUCGGUUAAAGAGAAUCCGACUAUAAAAUGACAUCCCACUUUUCUGAAAAGAAAAAAGAGAUAUGAUCAAUCUUUUUUUAACUAAAUAAUCAAACAAAUUCAGUUUUUAAAAGUUUCAUUUUUUUAUACUUUACUUUUCAUCAAUCAAACAUGUCCCCCAAAAAAAUUCUAAGAUCAUAAUCUUUUAUCUUAUAUUAUUUUGAAAAAAAAUAUUAAAAAAAUUAUAAAAAGUAUGAAAAAAAGCCAGAACCUAACACAGUCCACAAGGAAACUCACUUAUCCAAGUCCACUCCUCCCUACUUCCAAGUCAACCCCCCCUCUCCUCUUUCACUUCACUUCUCCUCCUCCUCCUCCUCCUCUCCACCACAACCAACCCACUUCCAAAAUACAACACUGACAACAACAAAAGCUACAAACCACAAAAAGAAGUUAUAAAAGACCAGCUACAAAUAAAAGAACCCAACACCUGCAAGAGUAAAAUCAAGGAAUAGCAGAUGAUAAGAAAACGAUUCAAACUUUUUUUAAGGCCCCAAAUAAAUUACCAUUACUUUUUGAGUUUGAAUUGAACCGACAAUCUCCUGGAUAAAUCAGCCAUCCCCACUGCCCAAUAACAACACACAACAACAGAUCUUGGGCUCUCUUAAUUACUCCUCUAUUACUACUACGACUACUACUACUACUAAUACUAAUUCUAAUAUUACUAUUAUUGCUGCUGCUGCUGCUGCUGCUACUACUAGUGCUUUUUUUAGGGGAAGAAAUGGCUUUGGCUUCUGCUUUUCAGAACACUAUUUUUGUCCUCCUCCUGCUGCAGCUUCUGCUUCUUGGGACAUCUUCUGGCAGUAAUGUAAGGUUAUCUCACUGCCCAUUUUCUGAUUUUCUGUACUGAUGUUAUGUAAUGCUUAAACAUGGGGUUUUGCUGUUGUUGUCGUUGUUGUUGUUGUUGUUGUUCUCAUGGUUAGGUGUACAUUGUGUACAUGGGGGAGAAACCCCAGAUGCAGCCACACCUUGUUCAUGAACUCCACCAUGGGAUCCUCACCAGUGUGCUUGGGAGGUCUCUCUUAAUUUCCUUUUUCAGUUUUGCCUGUUAAAUCACUUUGUUUAAUCUGCAAGAUUGACAGUAACUGUUCCUUUGAAUUUAGCCACACAAAUUUGCUGCAAUAAAGGCUUAUUAUUUUGCUGUUUCUAGUGAAGAAGAGGCGAAAACAUCAAUUCUUUAUAGCUACAAGCAUGGGUUCUCAGGAUUUGCUGCUGUGCUCUCGGAAUCUCAGGCGGCCCGCCUUGUCGGUGUGUAUUUGGAGGAUGACAAGUUGAUUUGAAUUGUUCUUGUUCUUCUUCUCUUUUUUUUUUCUGGGUAUCAUUGUUUCUGAGAAUUAUUUAUUUUCAUUUUGUUGCAUAAUGAAUUAAUUCAGACUGGCCCGGAGUUGUUCGGGUUGUCCCGAACCGGAUUCUUGAAUUGCACACCACCAGGAGUUGGGAUUUUCUGCAUCUGAGUCCAGAACCCUCAAAUGGGCUCCUCUCAUUGAGUAGAUUCGGCGAGAGGUCGAUUAUUGGUGUGUUGGAUACUGGUGAGUCUAAUGUUUUAAUGAUUCAUCAUAAAAAUUGUAGGUUGGAGCUUCAUAUUUGUUGAAGUUUGCCUAUGUACUUUCAUUCAAAGGAAUAUGGCCAGAAUCCGAAAGCUUUAAAGAUGAUGGCAUGGGAGAAGUUCCGCCACGGUGGAGAGGGAAAUGCGUCGAAGGCGAGAAGUUUCGUGCUUCAAACUGCAAUAGGUUGGCGACUUUCAUCCUCACACCUGCUUCGUCGACAAAGCAGAAUAUGAUAUUCUUCAUUUAUUUAGGACUAUCUCUUGAUGUCAGUUGUAUCUCUCUUAGUUUGUCAAGCUAUAUAUAUGUCGCAUAUCACCUUUUCGACUCAUAUUUUUAGAAAGAUUUUUUGUCCGAGCUCUAUCAUAUAGUAUUCUUCGCUUAUAAAUCGACAAAUAUUAUUAUCUUACUGAACAUUCUAAACAAAGCCUAAGGAUUUCUUUCAGAUUCGAAGUAAAUUUACUCGCCAUUUCAAUUGCUCUAAGAGUCGCGAUAUUUCUUUUCUUGGGUUUCAUUCAACUACUAGUCGAUUAACAAUGUUACUGCAUGAGGUGUUGUCCUACUAAAUAUCCUACUACAUUUGACCAAAUGAUGUAUGAGUCUCAAUACUGAGGUCUCCUAUUUCAUUGCCCUCUAAUUAGAUUACCCUUUUCCUAGAGAGUCUUGCUUGCUUAUGUCGAAAAAUGUGAAACUCAAACCGUCCGAGAACUUGCAAUUAUCACGGUGGUAACUUGAAAGCUUCAUGGUAGGUUUCUUUCCGCAGGAAAAUAAUCGGAGCACGGUGGUACAUCAAAGGAUAUGAAGCUGAAAACGGUAAACUAAACACGAGUGAAGUGUUUGAAUUCCUGUCUCCCCGCGAUGCUGUCGGUCACGGCACGCACACGUCAUCGACUGCCGCCGGUGCCUUAGUGGCCAACGCAAGCUUCAAUGGGCUUGCUCAAGGCUUAGCGAGAGGAGGAGCUUCACGGGCCCGACUUGCUAUCUAUAAAGUAUGCUGGGCCACAGGAGACUGCAGCUCUGCAGACAUUCUCGCCGCUUUCGACGAUGCCAUACAUGAUGGCGUGGAUGUUCUAUCAGUUUCUUUGGGCCAAGCGCCACCUCUCCCUACUUAUGUCGAGGAUGUUUUGGCGAUCGGCUCCUUUCAUGCCGUGGGCAGAGGAAUUUCUGUUGUUUGUUCUGCAGGGAAUUCCGGGCCGUACUCGCAGACAGUGAUCAAUACUGCUCCGUGGAUUAUAACUGUCGCAGCAAGCACGAUUGACCGGACUUUCAUUUCGAGGAUCACCCUCGGGAAUAACAGUACUUUUGUGGUAAGUUUUCAACUUCUUAUUUCUUGUUUCAUGUUUGUUUUGUUUUAUGUUUGUUUAGCACUGGACAUAUGUGUUCUAAAUUCAGGGUCAAACCCUAUACCCUGGAAAGCAUCAUAAGAGGAACUACCAAAUUGUUAAUGCCGAAGAUAUCGCCUCCAGUGAUACAGAAGAUAGUGAUGCAAGGUAACAUUUUUUCCUCGCCACAGUCCCAAUUUAAUCGAAAUCGGGGUGAAAUAUCCUUCUAUUCAAGUUAAUGCCCUCGCAGAAGUUGCAAUACAGGAUCUCUUAAUGCUACUCUAGCAAGAGGAAAAAUUGUACUUUGUUUCCAAACACGGGGCCAAAGGGUGGCUUCUGUUGCGGCAGACACAGUCAGAAAAGCACUCGGUGUCGGCGUCAUCUUCGCUCAGUUCAUGACGAAGGAUAUUGCAUCUUCAUAUGAUAUUCCGUGCAUCCAAGUAGACCUUGAAACCGGAAGUACCAUACUAAAUUACAUCGGCGACACAAGGUACAUGUAUAUACGUGUCCUUCGAACUUCGAAGUCCUUUGUUUUCUAAUUUGGUACAAAUUUGGUUUUGGAGAGUAAAGCAGCAAUCUUCUCCUGACACUUUUCCGCAGAAAACCGGUUGUGAAAUUUAGCUCUGCAAAGACAAUUCUUGGAAAACUGAUUGCUCCUGAAGUGGCAUACUUCUCGUCUCGAGGCCCGAGUUCGUUGUCCCCCUCUGUACUGAAGGUAAUUCUCCGUAAGUUUCAUUUACGUAUCGGUCGGAAGUGAUAAGGCCACGAUUUUUGCUAUUAAAGUAAUGUCGGCUUUUCUGUGGUUAACUCAUGGAUACACUCUGCAGCCUGACAUUGCUGCACCUGGUGUGAACAUUUUGGCAGCAUGGCCCCCAGCUUCCAUGUUAUCUCCCACUAGCAGGCCGGUUAAUUUCAGGAUUGAUUCAGGAACGUCGAUGUCGUGCCCGCACAUCUCAGCUGUUGUAGCGCUUCUCAAAUCGAUCCAUCCUGAUUGGAGCCCCGCCGCGAUUAAAUCCGCGUUGGUCACAACAGGUCUGCUGCAGUAAAAUCUACUGCCUCAAUCUUACUUAGUUCAUUGAUUCGAAAAGGGUUAUAUACACAAGUAGCUCCAAACUAGUUCCCUGGCUAUCUGAAAUUGCACAAUAACCAUUUCAAGCCUAUCAUAAAUAAAAUGAGAUCGAUUUCUCUCACUACUUGAUUCUGAAAUUGCUUUCAUUUCUUCGACAGCUAACGCAUAUGACGAAUAUGGCCUCAGUAUAGUAGCUGAAGGUGCUCCUUACAAGCAAGCCGACGCAUUCGAUCACGGAGGUGGCCACGUAGACCCAAACAAGGCUUUAGAUCCUGGUCUAGUUUACGACACGGGUGUUUCCGAUUACAUCCGUUUUCUUUGCUCCAUGGGAUACAAUAACUCCGCUAUAAGCUCAAUGACGCAGCACAACAAAGCGUGCAAAAGCUCCCGUCAAUCGCAGAAGGACUUGAAUCUCCCUUCCAUAUCCAUUCCUGAACUAAGAAAGACCCUGACAGUAUCAAGAACAGUUACAAAUGUAGGUCCGGUUAAUGCGGUGUAUCGAGCUCGCGUAGAAGCUCCGAAAGGAGUACAUGUAAAUGUCGAGCCCAAAGUCUUGUUGUUCAACAUGACUGCGAAGAAGUUGUCAUUCAAGGUAACUUUUCGGACGAAGCUAGACGUGCGAGGGCGGUAUGUGUUCGGAAGUUUGUCGUGGGAGGAUGGAGUUCAUUCGGUGAUGAUUCCGUUGGCGGUUCGGACGGUGAUCGACGACUUCUACACGGUUGCAUGAUGGAAACAUGAUCAUGAUUCCAGUGGAAAUCAACUUCUUGUUCCUCUUUCCUUAUUUUGUUUUCCCUUUAAAAUUUAAACGCCAUUUGUGCACAUCAUAUGUUUUGUUCUCCGAAAUCUUGUUAUUGUCACUAGUUGACUCACAUUGUAAUGACAUUCUCAUAUGAUUUCUCGUUCGCCGAUUUUAUAUUUGUUAAAUCUUAUUCAAAUCUGAAAUAAUAGAGGAUUUUAAACAAUAUCUAACUGAUUCAAAGGUUCUUAAAGAAAGAAAAAGUUUUUCAUAAAUAAUUGUGCAUGAAACUCAUAAUUUAGUGUUCAGAAUCUUAAGCUAUUAUUCAACAAAAAGUAGCUCAUGAUUUGAGAGGAUUUGUUUGAGAUAACUAAUUACUUCAUCCAAGAUAAUGGGAUCAAUAAUUUCAUCAAAGAUAAUGCGAAUCAAUUCUAAGUUUGUUGCUUUGUUUGUUCAUUUAUUUAGUAUCAUAAAUGUGGGUGCUUAACUAAUGGGACCAAUUCUUUACUUAUUACUUUCAAAUUUUUCUUUAUUAUUCAUUAGUAACAGAUGCUAAAUCCACAAAGAUGCUCUUUCUUUAAGUUGUGUUGAUUAAAGUGUUGGAUCCACUACUGUUUUGGCUCUGACACUUGCUGCUGCUAUGGUAGCUGCAGGUUUUUUUUUUUUUUUUUUUUUUUUUUUUUUUUUUUUUUUUAAUAAAGCUAGGUUUUUUUUUUUCCUUUUGUUUUUCAAUAGUCAUGGCAUAUAUUAAGAACUGAUAAAAAUGUACAAAGCUUCCUUGAACUACGGACCAUUUUGAUUCGACUUUUUAAUUUUUAAAAUUUUAAUUUUACUGUCAAAUCUUUCAAUUUAUUUGAUUUGAAUCAGUCAACAGCACUUUGACUUCAAAAUUUAAGCUAAUUACUUACUCUAAUAAAUUUAUAGUUGCAAGAAUUGUAUGGAAUGUGCUAACUAAAUUGUUAAAGAUAGACAAUAUAUUUAAAUUUUAGAAGUCAAAGUGUUGUUUAUUGAUUCAAAUCAAAUAAAUUGAAAGGUUGAAUAUGAAAGGUUGGAUAGUUAAAUCAAAAUGGUCGACGGUUCAGGUAAUUCUAUAUGUCUUUACUUAAAAAGUUUUAUUUGUUUAACUGAUAUCACAAAGACUACUUCUCGAAGCUACUUUAACCUUUGUGGAAGACACGUUAAAAGCUGCGAGAUUACCGACCAACAGGGAACCAUUGCGUGCAUAUCUGAUGCAAUAUAAAGGCAAUCCACGAUGCUUGCUCUGUGGAAAUUGGAGCAAUCCCUUCUUUUGCUAAUGCAUCCCAGAGAAACUUUUGAUAUCUUCUUAGAUUUAGCGUCCAUCAUCAAAACUUUGCACCUUCGGAGUUAUCACUCAGAUUCACUAAUCUCCGAAGCUCGGACAUGGGGCUAUAGACUUUUACAGAGAGAUUCAAAUAUUUCAGUUUUGAAUGGACUUCGAGAUUCUCUAAAAAUGUUGAAAUUGCGGAUCGCUUCAGCAAAAGUUUUCCUUUUGGUCUUCAGUUGAUGAGUUUAUUCAGUCUGUACCACGAUUAAUUGAAUAAAAUCGCCUUCAGGCGUGAUUUCCCUCAAAAAAAGGUUAUUCACACAUAAUCGAAGGCCAAAUGGCCCCUAAUCUAUUUUGCGACUAUCGGUUUGGGGUCCAGUUCUCUAAUCAUUAAGUAGCACAUAAUCUGAUCAUAAUUUUUUUUUUUAUUUUUUAAAAAAAUUGUCUGGUCAUAGAUUUAGAUCCAGAACUUUUAAUUGGUUUUUUAUCUUCAAGAUAAGCUAAUGGUUUAACUAACGGACUUAUUUUACUCUGUUAAGUAAUUGAAGCGUUUACAAAGUGCUUAUUGAGUAGAAUUAUUUGAGUAGAACUAUUCAAGGAAGCAGUAAUAACUUUUUUUACAUUUUCUCUAUGCCAAGAAGCUUCAAAUAGACAACAAGAAGUUUAGCAAUCUAUGGCUUCGUUUGGGGUUGUAGGGCGAUUGCAUUACGUGUCGUGAGAAAGUACGAUAGAAAAAUAUUCUGUUUGUUUCCGUACGUAAUAUUGCGUUUCGCAUAUUGCGAUGAGUCGGUUAUGAUAUAUUUUCCGCGGUCCCACCGAAAAAUACAGAAGCAUAUCCCUAUAUGUUUUUUUUCUAACUUUAUUUUAUCUAAUAGUGUUAGAUAGAGCUCAAUACCAAAUUAAGUUUAAGUCAAUAUUUGGACAAAACUAAAAUAGACCUAUGCCAAAACAAACUACCUAGUGAUAAUUAUCUGCAAUACAAAAAUUUUCUUUUUUCUUUUAAUUGCAACCUAAAGUUUAAUUCUAAUCUAUUACAACUUUGGUAGUCUAAAUUUUUCAGAGGAACAAAUAUUAUAUCCGAAGAAGAAUGAUUUUUUUUUUUUUAGAGAGAGGUAGCAUGAUACCCGCUUAGUUCAUUUUUUCAAAAUUUUUUUUUUUAAAAAAAGAACAAAUAGAAAGGUGUUAACAUAUAUUUCUGAAUAUCUUAAGUAUUAGAUCAGUUUUUUUGGAUAAUAUAGUAUUAAAGAUAAUUCUAAACCCCUUCAUUCUGUAAGGUCAUAGAUUGAAUUGGCACCUUCAAUAUUUAACGAGAUAAAUUUUCGCAGAUCUUACCUACUAAUUCUACAUGUCUUUUCUAUCCAACAGAUACACGAGUGAAAAUAUCAAUAUAUAUAUUUAUAAAUCAGUUUCCUAGCAUAUCAAUCUUUUGGGUAAUAGAAGCAACCCAAGGAUAAUGAAUUAAUGCCUUUUUUUGUAUGUAGUUGUAGACAUCUUUCAUACUCAACCAACUACUGCAUCAUUUCAAUAGACGAGAUGUGCUAAUCAAAAUAUUCUCAAUGAAACAGAGAAACGAGUUUUGGAGCAGAUUCUGCUGUGCAGAGUAUUUCAACCCUUCCUAAAGUUUGGUUUUGAAUAUGGCCUGUUUGAGUGGAAAGAAUUUGAAGAGAAAAAGAAAUGGAGAGAUCUCUGAAUUUGUCAACAAGCCAAGGCCAAGCAAAAGAGUGAGGAAGGACUCUCAAUUUACAACAACAUCAUCAUCAUCAUCAUCAUCAUCAUCAUCAUCGACGAUAACAACAAAGUAUAGGAUCCAAAAGGUCCUAAGAUUAAGCCCAGAACCCGACACUCUACAACUAAGGUGUUACUGAGGAUUUAAAUGUCGAAAUUAGAAACUACAGUUCAAGUACACUAACUUGAUUCUGUACAGAAAUUUCUGGUCAUAACAGAAGGGUAAAAGUUUGCACUGCGCACUACUAGCUUCGCUCUACGGCUGUUCUUGGCGAGUCUAGAAAGAUGUUAAAAUACUUCAGCAAUUUUGGUCGCUGGUACACGAUCCCGUCUUUCAACGUAUCCGUAAGGAAACCAUCCAGCUUUACCUUUGCAUUCUCCUUCGGCCCAGCCAUUAUUCGCCACCUGUAUGGAGCAUUCAGCAUCUCAAAUUAGGGUUUUUGAGAGGAAAUAACAUGCAGGGAAACAGUGAACAAGGUUAUCCCAAGUUACAAAGAAAUCAAUGUCAAAACAUCAAAGACAUAUCUAAUUAAAAAAAACGUAGAAUAAUGUAAAGAGAUGCAAACUAGAAAACAUACUACAAUUCAGUAGAAUCAGAAUAAAAUGACUUAGACUGUUAGAGAAACAUAGCGAACAUCAUCAGAUAUCUCUUGGUAUUAAUCUCAAUAAUCAAGCUAAUAGUUUUCACCAAGGGACUCUAGAACAUCAUUUAGAAUACGAGCCAAAGUAGCCUAGAGCGUCGUUUAGAGAUCAAGAUAUUAUGAUUAUUUGUUCCCUGGGCUGCUCAUUUUCUAAUUGUCUUCUAAGUUCUAAGAUUUUAUUUCAAAUUAUUCUGCAAAUCCCAAAACCCAAAAAAGGGCACAUUUAAGUUUAGAAUGCCGACCCAUUUAAGAUUAGGCACAACAGCAGAAACAAGGAUCAAACAUAAGCAAUUCAAUAUCUAUUUAAGUUCAAAAUAACCAUCUGCCUUCUUUGUUGGUCCUUAUCAGAAAUCUUAACCAAUGGAAAAUUAUGGCGUCCCCUAAUUACAGCUCCUUGCUUUUUGUUGAGGAUUGACUUAUUUCAUAAAGUCCGACUACUAUACUCUUAUGAGUAUGAUCAUUUUCGUACUCAUAAGUUGUUUUCGAUAAUAGAACUUCCGAAUCGACGAUCCAUAUCGUAAACAUGAUUUAGAACAUUUAAAACUUUUAGAUAUCAAAUUUUAUAAUUUUUCGACAUCAUUUACCUUACAAUCAAAAAAUAUCAAAAUGAACUUACAAUAACCGGUAGGAAUACUUGCUAGUUUAACGGUAUAAAAAAUCGAAAUUGAUUGAAUUUUUGAAAAAAAUCUAUUCACUAUCUAGAUAAAGAUCAAUAACUUCGAUCUUAAAUUGAAGGAUCCGAUCAUUCUUUUUUAGGAUGUUGUUCGAUUUUGAUGGUUCAUUUUAUGCCUGCUGGAUUGCUUUAUUAUAAUUUUGAAAAAUCACAAAAUUCAUUUUCUAGUAAUUUUAAAUGCUUUAGAUCAUAUUUAACGGUGUGAAUCGUCGAUUGGGAAGCUCCAUCAUUGAAAACAAUUUAUAAGCACAAAGGGCACAAUACUCAAUAGAUUAUAGCAGCCUUACUCUAUUUCAUGAUACUUCUCAAACAAUAGAGUAUAGUUCUGAAUACCUAAGGAGAGGGAAAUUAACAAUCAAAGCUAAUGAUGGAUGUUAAAUUAUACGAAAAAACUAUUUUUCUCCAAAAGCUUAAGCUGUUAGAGAAUAUUUUAUAUUCAACACUGCCCCUCGCGCUUGGCUCGAAACUUUUGAAUAAGCCCAAGACGAGAAAUUAAAUAAUGCUAGAAGCCUGAUAGGACUCGAACUUAAGAUUCUCUACUCUAAUAUCAUGUUAAAUUAUAUAAAACAACUGUUUUUCUCCAAAAGUUUAAGUUGUUAGAUAACAAUGUUUUUAUAUUUUUACAUUCAAUAGUGGACAAAUGUGCUACGGGAAUAAAGGUUGUCAGAAACAAACUACCUUUCUUACAACAACAAAGUCCCCAACCGACAGGUCCAACUCAACAUCUGACUCAGCCUGAUAUGCAUGCACAACCUUCAUAAUGCAAUUAAGUAAAAGAGUUACGAAAAAGACCAUCGAAACAGAACCAACCAUCAAAGAAUUGGUUCUAGUCCAACAUUUCAUUACACAUCCAAAAAUUAAAAGCUAUAUUGAGUACCUCCGCCAGAAAAUAUCCCACAGAAUCUCCUGAUCCAUUAACUGUUUGGGAAGAAUAUAUGCCAUUGGCGUCUUCAUAUGAAGGAGGAGGUGGCACAGGAUCUUCAAUUACUGGGCUUGGAGUGGCUUCAAUUCGCUGCCUCUCUGAUACCAUCUGUCCAUCAAAGCUUUAAGUGAAAAUGAAUGGAGAAGGACAAAAGUGCUUAUUAUGAAAAACACCUCACUGAGACCAAUAUUAGCUCUUGCUUUUGCAAACCAAAAAACAUAGAUGUGCCACUUGCCUCUUCUUCAAGCUGAUCAAGCAUUUCAAGGAUUUUCUGAUGAUAAGUGCGCUCUAAUUCAACCUUCAAUUAGGAGAAUACCAUUUAUCAGCUUUUUUUUGUGCCAAAGCAUUAUUAGCGACAUGAGAAAUGUUAAAAGAAAAAAAUGACAUUUUGAAAAGUGGGGAAUAAACCAUACCAUUGCAAUAAGACGCUGUAAGGUUAAUCUUUGUUGUUGAGCUUCUACAGCAGUCAUUGCUACUAUGGCUUCUUUACCAAGCACUGUCAUGUUCGACUUCAAGUCUUGCAACUUUGAUUCAGCUGCUUCCAACUUCAAAUUGUUAUCAAUAUUACCAGCGUCUUCUCUCCCUUUGAUUUGGCGUUUUGAAACUUCAAUAGCCUGAAAAGUGUGUGCCAUUUAUAAAGUGGAGAAUCUAUCAGCUGAUGACAAUAAGGGUUUGUUUGGUUCACCUAUUUUAGACUCGGGAAUGGGAACGGGAUUGACUCAUUCCGAUAGAAGUGGUUUGUUUUAUAGGAACCGGAUUCUGAUUCUCAUUCCACUCUAGAAUGGGAAUAGCUUAAUCCAUUUAUGGCACAAUCUAACUUUGAAUUCUCAAUUGACCCACGUAAGAGUAAGCGAAUUAAAACCCUCUCUCACAAACACCUCUCCCUUGUCCUUCAUCACUCUCCUCUCCCUUAAUCAAAACACUCUCCCAAAAUCCUAUUGAGUCCUAAUUGUCCAUUCCGAUUUCCAUUCCAAUAAUGAACCAAGCAUUUUUUGGAUGAUUCGUAAUUCCAUUUUUAAUUCCAAUGCAAUCCAAUUCUCUUUCCCAUUCCUAUUCCAAUCAUGAACCAAAUAUAAAAUAUUAUCAUCAAAACCAUGUAUAGCAAACUGAAUGUGGCAACAGGAGCAAUAAAACAGUACAAUGAAAUAAAGGGACUUUUACAUAAUAUAUCCCUGACAAAUCAUCUUUACACGUACAUCCCCUUAAAUCUAUAUUUUCAACCCCUUAAUAAUGCAGUUUGCUCUUAAGUAGGAGUCAUCUAAUUCACGGGAGAUGUUGGUUUUGCAUCAUAAAAAGUUUUCAAGAGAGGCAUUUUUUUAUAAAAAGAUUACAAAGGUAGGGUUUACUUUCGCCGGGCAGUAGAGUGUACUACUGUUAGAAGUUGUUUGAGUUGUACUAUUUGGAAAAGCAUAAAUAGCUUUUUUAUCAAAAGCAAGAGCUAAUUUGGAAAAGCGUAAAAAGCAUAAAUAUCCCUAGUUUUUAGGAAUUUAUGCUAUAUAAAGAUAUCCUAAAAAUCUAUCUAAAAUCACUAAAAUCUCAUCUCUACUUCACACCACAACAGAAGCUCUACUCUUGUUUGCUAAUAACGCUCUAUUAAAGAUGACUGCAACUAUAAGCAGAAGAUAGCAAAAUGGGUACUAUAUGUGUAAGGAAUUAAGUUUUUGAAGGUUAUAUUUGAAAAUUCAGAUUUUGCAAUGAUGAAUAUGGUAUAUAUUGUUACGACAAACGCACAAACAGAAACAAAAAUGGCAACCAGGAAAUAAACAAACCACAAACAGAAAUAGAAGAAUACACAGAUUUACGUGAAAAACCCUUUGCAGGGAAAAAACUACGGGUGAGGGAGGAGAGAACUUCACUAUCAAAACGAAAAAGGGAAUACAAUGUUGUGAUAAUACAACCGACCACGAUCUCACAUCUCUAGGGCAAAAAUGAAAAGGAAACUCUACGGGCUAGGGCCAAUAGGCCCGAGCCCUGCGCUACCCACCACAGACUUUCAUUUUUCCUUCACAAAUUUAUUUUCCAAUUUGGUCGCACCGUGAAACUGUCGGCGAGUCGAAAACCCGAACUUGAGUCGAUUAUCAAUUUCGAGUCACAUCUAACAUAUAUGAUUUCAGAGGGUAUAUCUAACGUAGAAUAUAAUUGUCCACAUAGAUAUUAGCAUAUAGUGUUACCUGAGCUUCAGCUUCUUGACGCAUUUUGUCAUACCGUUGAGCAAGGUGGCGAGCAUCCUCCAAUGGGGUACCUACUACCAUUGCUCUUAAUGGCUCUGCGACCUGACAAGUCAAGAAUUUUGAUACUAUCUGAUCAGCUCAUUAUCAUACAAGCAAAUCAAGAUUUGUGAAAUUCAAAUGAGCCAACUAGUUUACCAUCACCUGUUUAUAGUUUAGAAAAUGAAAAAGAAAAAAAAAGAAAAGGAAAAAAGUGGUAUUAAGAGUAUGACGAAAUAGUGACUGUUUACAAAAACAUCGAUAGACCCAAAUCGGCAUGACCAUAGAAUAUUCUAUUAGGAAACUUCUAUGUUGCACAGAUAUGGGUACAAGGAUACGGAUAUGAUGAUACAGCAAGUCCCAAAAAUUCUAGAAUUCGAUAUGCAGGGGAUACUUGAAUAAAAUAUUAUUUUAAAUUUAUUUAAACAUAUGUUGACUAUAUAUAAUAAUAUAUUGAGAACAAUCAGGAUACCUGAGGUAUAUUUAAGAGAUAUAUGCAUCAGCUUGUACAAAUAUUCUAACUUUGUUCAUCGAAAAAGAUAAUUAAUCAUAAGGAAUGAUAAUUCAAAGACUAUUAACCAACUAUCAUCUAGCUUGACCAAAUGAUAACAAUAGAUAUUUAGUUGCACAAACAAAAUUAGCCAUUCAUCAUAUAUGUAUGUUUUCAAAUAUCAUUAGGUUCUAUUAUAUAAAACAUUGACAAAAAAAAAAUGCUAAAACUUUCAUAAAAAUAGGAAAAAAAAUCAUUCUCUAUGGCCCUUCUUGGUUGACACUAGAUAGGUCACACUAGAUGGGUCAAUUAGAUUAAAAAAGUAAAAGUUAAACCUUAAAGGCCUAAACUAUAACUUAAUAUUGUGUGGGGACGGUGAGAGAGAGUGCCUUCCACCGUCCAAGCAAAAAGAUAGAAAAAUGAAGAAUUGAAGAGAGAUUGACAGUUUUUCCUACUGUUUUCCUUAUUUUCAGUGGAUUAGGAUGUGGAUUUGAAACCGACCGUCCUUAGAGCAAGUGGCAAAGGGCUUGGUGGUUGGUACCCGAGGUCCCAAGUUCGAAUUCUAGUUGAUUCACAUUUCUAGCUAAGUUUAUUUCUAAAUGAAAUAAACGAAGCGGGUAGCGUGCUACCUAUUUCUCAAAAAAAAAAAAAAAAUGGAUGUGGAUUUGAACAAAAAAUUUUUGGUUCCGAUCAUUUUAGACCAGAAAAAAAUCUAGCCGCAUCCCCGAUACCCCGGCCAUAUCCUCCUGUAUCACCCCCAUUUCUGAGCUGUAUCCUGUGUUUUUUUUUUUUUCACUUCUUAAAAAAAUUCCGGAUACUCCAAUCCCCUAUUGGACAUAUCGAGCGCGUAUCGAGCGCAUAUCCAUAUGCGAUAUGUAUCCGAUACACAAACAGCACGUAAAUUGAAGUAUCUGCGCUUCAUAGGGAACCUUAUAUCAGAAGAUAUUAAGACCAAUGCACUUAAGUAAACUUGACAAACUAAUAAACUGAACAAGGAUAAGACAGAGGGCGCAGUACGCCUGUGCAACAUAGAUUACAUAUUUACAACAAGGAAAAUGCAUAAAUCUAGGACUAGCUAGGUAGCGAACUGCUUAGCACACUCGAAGUUCUGAUAAACAAAAAUUAUAUAAUUCUAGGUUGCAACUUGCAAGACAUAAUAUGCUAAAUUUAUAUCCGCAUAGACGUGCUGCAUAGAAUUUUUAAUGUUCACAAACUCCAGACAGCACAGUAGCUCAGCCAAGAUAUAUUAGUAAAUCAGUUCAAUCAUCCUUCCAAUCUAGAACACUAGUAUAAUCUUUGAGGUUCUCGUCGAAGGCAACAUUCACAAAACAUAGCUUUCCAACCAUGAAAAGGAGUGUGUGUAUAUAUAUAUAUAUAGCUCCCAGCAGCCACCGAAGAAAAUGUACAUGGCCUCCUUUCCAUGGGCGCCCAAAUUACUUACACUCAACAAGUCAUUAUUCAUGACAAGGGCUAUUAACAAGAACCCAAACACAUAAAAGUAGGAGUUGACUCUAGAGCCAAAGAGUUAUUAAGGAGUAUAUCAAAAGUGAAACAAGAGGGCAACUAAUUUGCAUGCUUUAGAUUCCCAAAAGUAACAUCAGCAAUAUAACCAAAGCUCAUUUAAAAGAAGAAAUGAACAAUCAACUGCACAGAAAGAAAAAAAACACACCUGGGUGCUGAGAGCUUUCAAUAAGUCCCCACGUUCCUUUUCCAUCUGGGCACGAGCACGCCCAAAGGUUAGUGCAGCUUUUGAUAACGUACUUACAUUUGUACAGCUGUCCUCGGCACCGUACUUCUUGCUAUCUUCUGAUAGUUUUGUGCCUGAGGAAGGUAUCUAUAAUCUUUAUGUACAUGACAAAAUAAAGAGUGAGAAAAAAAGAACUAGGGCUAUACAGAUACCAAGUUCAACUUGUUUGGAUCCUGUGACUAUAAAACCUUCCACACCGCGAACAAUAUCUCUUUGAAAAUGCUGAAAGAAACACUAGAGUUAGACACACAGAAACUGGUCGAAUAGAUUUGUCAUAAGAUGGCUAACCUUUCCUGAGCGGGUUGAUAUGUAAAGCUUCUCUAGUUUCUGAUGCUGCUGAAGUUCCGCCUCAUCGCUAAACACAUAAUCAAAACUUGCAUAUCCACCAUUUCCAAAUUGCUUGAGAACAGCCUAUCAUGAUUUUCACAAAAUGAUCACAAUGCCCAAGAAAAUAUGAAAAGAUAAACCAUAUUCAUUCACUUGAAGAUCAUAUGGCUUAUUCAUUUAUUCAUAGAAAUAAUACAAGAUGAAGCCUAAAACCUAAAAAGCAAUCACUCUACUUAUCUACCAUAAUUACUUUGAAGCAUCUGGAUAGCUACUCACUUCAUAACUACUUUAUGCUACUUCUCUUGAAUCGCGCUUCCAUAACUCCAUCAUAUGCUAUCAUAACUCCAAUUUUGCUUCAUCAUAUUUAUGCAUCUAAAAAUGGUACAAACGUCUCUCUAUGAUGUAUCAAAAAACAUGAGAAACUUUCAAAAGCACUCCCAACCGUAUAGUGCAUCUGCAGUUUACUAUCCUAUGGCUUAAACUCUAAGAUUUUGUACUCGUGGUUUCCGUUUUAUCUUUCAACAAGUAGUGGUAAUUUAAAAGGAGCAAAGUGCAUAUUUUAUAAAGCAUGUGGCGGUACUAGCUAAAAUGUAACACUUUACCACCCUGCGUGUUGCACUUUACCGUCACCAUCAUGUGAUUUAUAAAAUUUAUCACUUUGCUACUUUUUUAUGACAGUUCCUUGGGGAAAACUAAAGAAACUUACUUUUUAUUUUGGGUCACUUUAAUUUGGUCUCUUGUGGUUUAGCGCACUUUCACUUUGCCACUAUGUAGUUUUCGCAGGGUUCUAAUGACUACCGUUGUAACAAAGUGAUACUUUCUUACAAACCACAUAACGGUACAUAAUGGUACAAUACAACAGUUCACUAUCCUAUGAUAUACAGUUUACUAUCCCGUGGUUUGCAAAAAAUAUCACUUUGCUACUCUGUUUAAUGAGAGAACCGUACGGUGAAACUAAAAUAAAACCAUGGAAUAGUUAACUGCAACCAUUCAAGCCACGGGGUGGUCCUCUGGCAAAGUGAAAAUAAGCUAAACCUCAAAAGUAGAGAUGUCAACGGGUCGGAUUCGAGACGAAUUUUCAAAAAACACAAAGCUGAACCCGACUACCAAACCCGAAACCCGAACCCGAAUCCCAAUCCGACGGAUUUUAAAAAUCCAUACCCAAACCCGAAUCCGACUAAAAAUUCGAAACCCGAACUCAAGCCCGAACCCGAAAAUCCAAACCCGAAACAAUUAUUUCUCUUUACAAUAUUUCAAAAUAUAUUACAUUAAAUCUAAAUUUUUAAAAUACAAAUUUAAAUAUAACAUCAAACAUUUCUAUAUAUAUAUUAUAUACAAUGUAAAAUAAUUUCAGGUUCGAGUUCAGGUCGGAUAGAAUAAAAAUCCAUACCCGAAUCCAAAUCCGUCGGGUUUUCGUUUUUAAUAUACAUAUGCGAAACUAUAUCUGGUUAGCAUCG